AAACCUGUGUGCUCUGGUCCAAUGGGCUGGCUAGUUGUCUCAUUGUGCAUGCGUGACUGUAUGACAUAUGUGCAAGCGGCAUAAAAAGAGGAGAAAGAAAAGGCAACACACUAUGUAAGGUGCCACCACAGGAUCGAUAUCUAAUAUUCCCAAAUCCCAAAGGCCAUACAACAGAGCGAAAAGCUAGCUACAAGAAGGUGUCCAGGUUCAAUGCACUUCGAUCGAUCCACAUCGUCCAAAGUUGAGAGACCCAGAUGAUGGCCAGUUUCAAAGCAGGUGAGACCAUCAGAGCUGCUGAGCCUCUGAAAGGGCAUGGGGAUGGAGAUGCUUGGGGUAUAAGUAUCUUUGCAGAAGCGCGAGGAUGAUGGCGACGCGGCGGGAGCUUUUCUUCUUCCUCCUCAUGCGGUAGGAGGAAGAGGAGAGGCCGUCGGCGUCUCGCAUGGAGUUCCCCCAUUCACACUUCUUGGCUGUCUAGUUCCUCGUCGUUCGUUCAGGUAGGGAGGGUUUUGUUCCUGUAAUUCCCUUUGUGUUAUUCCUCGUGGAGGAGGGGUUGCAUCUUCUCCUUCUCUUCUUGCUGCGUGUUGUCGUCGCAGCUUGAUUGUAUGUUUUUUGUAUCAGGGCAUCUCGUCUCUUUUGGACAGUCCGUGUGUUUCUUUCGUCAUGUGUUUUGUUUGGACGACCUCCGGAAAUGCAUGCAUGCGUGUGUUUUUCUCGAUGCGAUGAUGAUUGUAAUUGCGGUGUCUAAACUACAGAGCGUCACAAGAAUGUACUCUGAUUCACAGCGUUGUCGGUGACAUUCAGGUUACAAUGGCAAAUGUUGAGUUUCACAUGACACGAUUAGCUCAGCAUCAACUCGAUCACCCAUUCCACAGCAAACACGACAGCUCAAACCAAUAAAUAAGGCAUGCCAUAAGCUAAUUCCGUUCAUUCCAGGGUGGCAGAGUGAAACAGGUUCAGCUAACCAGGCUACUACAGUGUUUCAACAGAAUUUCUUCCAUGCUAUGCAAACGCCACCGUCGCAAAGAGUUCCACAUAGCCACUACAUGCCCAUAACAGAGUUCAGUCUAGCAGACCUCCGUUUGGAACUUGAGGCAUGCCCAUGCUUAACAGCUCCUGGUAGAGCAGUUUGGCGUAAGUAGGGGACGGUGAUCCUGACGAUGUUCUCCGAUGAGCGCUAGAACCUGCAGUAGGGGCUCCGGAUCUUCCGCCCGCCCGCGACAGGCGCAUGAUGAUGCUCAGCGUGGAGGGCCGCUCGUGGAGGUUGCGGCCGCGCCGUGGGCCAGCAGGCAGUCGCGCUCCACUCCCCGAACUUGACCCCGCCCAACCUCUUGCUGUCCGCGACCAGCUGCCUCGAGCGGGUGCACCGGGCCCGUGUUCCGGAACUUCACCUUGUCCUCUGCCAUGUGGAUCAUCCUCUGGUAGAAGGUGGGGUCCGUGAAGAUCAGUGACUGCAUCUUUUUGCCGGUUUGGCCGUUUGAGAACACUUUCACCGAGAACUAGGCGGUACCCUAGUAGCAACCGGCAAGGCUCGCAGUGGUGCACCCUGCGACCAAGGUUCGACUCCCGUCGGGAGCGGAUUUCUGACACCUCACCCGGGUGUCCUGGGUGCUAGUACACACAUGCAUAUCUCAUUUUUUUUAGAACACUUCCGUCCCCUCUUGCAAACCCGAACCUAGAAUACAACAAGAUGCACCAGUUUUAGACAUUUAAUAAAGCAAUAACAUUUUACAGGUAUGUAGGAUGUACUGAACUGGUAACUGAACUCAGAACAUAUGUCCAGCAUAACUAUGCAGUAUCAUGUUACAUAGGUAGUGGAAGUACAAAUGUCUCAUUUUAACGAAACACAUGAUGUUACAUCGUACUACUAAAGAAAAAGUGAUGUAGAUAUGAGAACACACAUGGCGAGAUUGAAGGAAAUAAUAGAGUAUGUCUGAUUAUUUUAUCUGUAGAGCUAGAGUUGUUGACAUAAUCAAACCAUGUAUUACAUGGUAAGAUCAAAGACGACAUUGAUCAAUUUCUCCCGACCGACUGGGAUCCCCUUCCCUCCCAUGUAGCUCCCGCGACCGACCCAGAGGGGAAACCCUAACCACCGGCAUAGUUCGCCCCCCCUCCCCUGCCGCCGCCGGCUCACACUGACGGGCAAAGACCAAUCAGUGUCACGGCCUCUCUUCCCCUUCCCGAUGGUGGCCAGCGCGGUCUAGUGUGAUCAGGCGGGUUGUGUUUGUAGAGGGUGUGGAGGCACUGCGCAGGCAGUGGCGACGGUCCGUGGUUGUGGGGGUCUGCGUGUGGAUCGCCCGGAGACGUUGCGGCGGCCAUAGUCGGGUGGUGUCUUCUACACAGCGUUGUGUGGUGCGCGUAGACGUGGGGGUGCGCGCCCUUGGCCGCAUGGGUGGCAGGCCGGCGUCGUGUGUGGAGCGUGCUCUCGGGGCCUCCUCGUCGAUCCUUGGAGCUGAUCUGGAGAAGGUGGUAUCCUCCCUCGAUCCUCUUCCUGCCUUGCUGGCCCGCAAGGCGACCUUCGGUUGGUCUAAUCUAGUGGCUGGGUGGCAUUGGUGGUGUUGGGGGCUAUGGAUUGAGGGAAUCCCUUUGUCGGUUUCAACUGUCGUGAUACAAGCGACGCUCCGGGUGUCAUUCCCCUUCAUGUAGGCAACAUCGAAAUCCUACCCCUGGCCUCCACCUCCAAGUCCCGGGUGAAACUCCAAAAUCCCAGGAUUGUGUGGCCACUACACGCAGGCGUCAUUGUACUUCUUGAAGGCACCACAUCCAUCUUGGGACCGUGGAGUGCUGGUCGAGGCUUCGUAAUUGGAACUUGACUACCUGGAUCUACAGAGGUGCUCCCGCUCGGCUGCUUGUGGUUGACGUUGAUCCUUGCUAGAUAUGGUGGCGAUGUACAAGAUGUUUCUUAGUGAGGUAGGGUAGCUGUGUUAGCCGUCCUCUCCCCAACAACCUAUUGGUCCUAGUCAUAUGAGCUUGGGGUGAGCGGCUCUGCCUGCCGAGGGUGCAACAUCCUCCGAUCCAGGGCAAGAGUGCAGGGGGCUCCUUCGGAGGCAAAUACAGAUGGCGGACAAACUAUGGUUGGUCUCAUGGGAGUUGAUGAGCAUGUGUUUCCUCCGACGGCGGGCUUCUACCUUGUCUUGGUCAUGUUGAUAGAAGGAUCUUAGUUUGUCGAGGGCCUUAAUACCCAAAUUUGUUCUUGGUGCACUCAAAGCUCGUUAGUGGCUCAUUCAGUAUCAUGUAUCUCUGCCCUUUUUUUCUAUUGUAAAGGUUGUUGUGUGUUGGGUUGUGGCUUUAUCUAUAAAGCGGGGUGAAUGCCUUUUUCGGAGAAGAAUUUUUCAUUAUCAUUUGAGUUAUGAUUUAGAGACUGCAAUUUCUACAUUGAAAAGUGUGUCAUCAAAUCUGUUGAAAUGACACCAUGUGAGAUAUGGUAUGGUAAGACAAACGAGUUUGCCUUUUCCUAAAAUUUUGUAAUAUAAGACAUAUGUAAAAAAAUUACAUGUCUAUCCCAAAUCAGUUAGGUGCUAGUUUAUAGGUUAUUCUAUAAUAUUGGGUAUUCCUCACUGCACCAUGGCAAAAUGUUUGCCACUAAGAACAAUGUGUUUUGAAGAAAAUAUUUCUUGCAAAAUAAUAAGUGGGAAGAUAGUGCAGCUUGACGAGAUUAGAGAAUCUUCGCCAUUGGAUCAAAUGAAAGAAAUGUUGGAAGUGGUUCCAAAAGUUUCCCACUACAACUGCUAUUAAAAUCUCCUCAAUAACAACGGGGAGAGCAUUAAAACCAAGCAUCUCCACGAAAUCAGUGAUGAAGUCUUCCUUAUCUCAGGAGUGAGCAAACGCACAAUCAUUGUCCAUAUUCCAUUUGAACUAUGCCCUCUUAUCCAUAAGAGUCAUUCUAGUCAUGUAGUUACUUGCUACACAUGUAUCAUCUACAAACAAAGUGUCACUAACCGCAUAAUCAUGUCACCCAAAGCAACAACAGCAAGCUGCCAAAGCCAUAUAAUGGUAAAAUGGCCACUAACCCCAACCACUUAACUCAUAGUGUUAAAAAAACACCAGCCAUUUAAACUUUUUGUAAGUAGCAUUACUGGUACUACAAUGUAGCUUUGGUUUAACAGCGAAAUCACGAGGAAAUCUUUUUUGGCUUAGGUUUAAAUAAGGAAGAUAAUAUCACUCUCUCAUCUCAUAAAUUAUCACCCUCUAAUUAGAAUCAGAAAUUAAAUUUGUAAUAGCAUCAGGGUGAAAGCUAUUUAGCUUUGCUCGGUAUUAUAUUUUUUGCUAUGUUUCCCCAUUCUAGUACUAAACAAAUCACUUCUAGAUUUUUUAGGUCAUUAAUAAUAGAAAUAGAGUACUGUAUUUAUUAAGUAACUAGGAACAUUAUUUAGAACAACAUGUAUAGAUGUGUAUAUUGGCCAAUUCUCCAGACACUCUUUCAUUUGGGCCUGAAACAUGUGAGUGACAAAGAAAAAUAAACAACCCAAAAUAGGAGCGCAUCCACUCACCGGUGCAUUUCAUCAAGGAGGUGUGCACGGAUGCUACAAAAUGAUAUUCUCCCACCCCUUCCCUAUUAGACAAAAAACACUUAGAUUAAACCUAAAGAUCAUUAAGAGCAUAUUUUGAUGAUGCGAUGUAAAGUUGUUGAAAGGACAUGUUGAUACCUAAACAUGGUUUCAAAGCAAAAUCGUGUUGGUUCAGUUGAAACAACAUCCAUCAAUUGCUUCGUGAUACCAAGAGUUCCCCGAAACACUUCACGGUGGUCUUUCGAAUAAUGCCUUGUCAAGUGCUUACAAGGAUCCCAUGAUAAGACAAAACUUUCUUUAUAUUGAUCAUAUCUCCUGGUUCGUGAUCGACAAUGAGUAAAGCUUGGCAUCACCAAGAGUUCCCCCAAACACUCACAGUGGCAUUUGUAAUACUGCCUCGUGAAGUGCUUGCGAGGAACCCACGGUAAGACCAAACUUGCUUUGUGAUGAUCGUCUCCUUUGGUUCUUGACUGCAUUGAGUAAAUCUUGGCAUCACCAAGAGUCGUUCCCCCAAACACUUCACAAUGGCAUUUGAAAGAAUGCUCAUGAAGUGUUUGCAAGGAACCCACGGUAAGACCAAACAUGGUUUGUGAUGAUCGUCUCCUCUGGUUCUUGACUGGCAUUGAAUAAAGCUUGGCAUCACCAAGAGUUCCCCCAAACACUUCACAAUGAGAUUUGAAAGAAUGCUCGUGAAGUGCUUGAAAGGAACCCACAGUAAGACCAAACAUGGUUCACCAUUAGCUUAGCUCUUCUGGUUCGCGACCAGUAUCUCGUAAAUGCUUGAUUACACUAAGAGUUCCUCCAAACACUUCACAUAAGCUCUCAAAAAGGUUCUUCGUAAAGUGUUUGAAGGGAACUCCUAGUAAUACCAAACGUGAUAUGUAGUACAUAUUGUGUAGUUUAUGACCUGCAAUAUCUGCUAAGUACUUUGUUGGACCAAGAGUUCCGGAAACACUUCACAAAGAUAAUACCUGAAAAAGGUGCUUCAUAAAGUGCUUGAAGGGAACCCUCGGUAAUACAAAACAUGAUUCUCUAGUGAAUCUCUCAUGGUAUGUGGGCAAUGUCUACUGAAUGCUUGGUGACACCGAGAGUUCCCCCAAACACUUCAGAUAAUUUCUUGAAAAGACGUGUCCUGAAGUGCUUGAAGAGAACUCCCGACGAGGCCAAACUUGAUUAAUACCCACGCACCUGUGCAUCAUAUGUAUAUGGACCCACCCCUAUAAUUUCCAAAGCACAAACACUCUCAAAUCCUACUGAUACUAUUGGUUGCCACCCAGAGUUCCCCCAAACACUUCACUAUGCAAAGCUCUAUAUCCCCUCAAUGCACACUUUUAAAACAGUGGCAAUGCAACAAUGGGGUAGCAUGAGCUAGCUACUGAAGUGAUUUGAGAAGAACUCCAGGUAACAACCAACCUAAGUAGGUAGCUACAGCUCUUGUUCAUCUCCCAUGGACCACACAUCACUGACUUGUUUAAUCUGCCAUGCGGCGGCUAUUUAUAAGUCUAGAGGAGAGACUAAAGACCUAAUAGCAAACUUGUUGCCUCCUGUGGACUGCAGCGUGCAAUGCAGUACAUGAUCUUGGUGCUGGGUCGAUGAACCUGGCAGUGCACCUAGACGUGAUGCUGCCUAGGUUAGAAGGAGGUGGCUGCUGGAGCCAAGGGAACCUCGUGAGAUGUGGCCUUUUCUGGCCAAGAUUGGCAGCUUCGAAUCGUGCAAAAGCUCAUGGUGUAAAGAUGCAUGCUCAGCCUGCAAAUUCCUUAUCUCCUCAAGCAGCUAGCAAGAGAUCAGCGUCGUCGGUGGCAUCGCUCAGUUUGUGUCCACGAACAUUUCUGUCAGCGCGUCCAUGCAAAGGAAUGCAGGGAUCACGCUAUAAUUAUGAUUAUCAUCCCAUGCAACUGGUGCAAAGCUUGAGCCGGCCAGUUGCAAGAAUGGGACCAGACGUGUGAGCUAGGAUGCCAGGCAAUCUUUGCUAGUAGUAAUAAUUUGCUGCAAGAAAAUGCUCUGUCGAUCUCAUGGGUGAAUAUUUUCAUUGCAGUAGUGAUGUGGUGCAGUAUCUUGAUAAAGUCUGUAUAGCUCAUAAAGAACUUAGGUAGAAGAAAAGUAAUCAGGAAUUUAGGUAGAAGAAGAAGAGAAAAUGCGCUUUCCCGCCCUCUUCACCCAUGCUUUGGAUGUGGAGGUGACUGUCGGGCAGGUGCGCGCGGGGGGGCUUGCCCGCUGCCUGGUGCCCGGCGACGAACGCGAGCUGGCGGAGGUCUCUGCUCUCCUGGCUGUUGCGCCAAUGAGGUGCGGAGGGGACGUACGACGACUCUGUCAUGCCGCCGCCCCCAAAGGCUCUGUCAUGACGACAGNNNNNNNNNNNNNNNNNNNNNNNNNNNNNNNNNNNNNNNNNNNNNNNNNNNNNNNNNNNNNNNNNNNNNNNNNNNNNNNNNNNNNNNNNNNNNNNNNNNNNNNNNNNNNNNNNNNNNNNNNNNNNNNNNNNNNNNNNNNNNNNNNNNNNNNNNNNNNNNNNNNNNNNNNNNNNNNNNNNNNNNNNNNNNNNNNNNNNNNNNNNNNNNNNNNNNNNNNNNNNNNNNNNNNNNNNNNNNNNNNNNNNNNNNNNNNNNNNNNNNNNNNNNNNNNNNNNNNNNNNNNNNNNNNNNNNNNNNNNNNNNNNNNNNNNNNNNNNNNNNNNNNNNNNNNNNNNNNNNNNNNNNNNNNNNNNNNNNNNNNNNNNNNNNNNNNNNNNNNNNNNNNCCUCCAUGAUCUGGGAGGAGCGUGCUCCCUCGCGGGUGAAGUUCUUCUGCUCUUCUUUGAUGAUGGAUCUGGUAGGCUGUGUCUUCUCCAAGUCCUGGAGUUUUUGGCAACGACAUGCCGUGCUUUGCCGUCGUUUCCCUCUCCUGAGCCGGCUGUCGUCUCCUCCUUGGCUCUGUGCGUGCAAGAGGUCGCUGGCAUCUCCAAGCAUUUGCCUUUUCUCUAGCUUGGUGUAUGUGAGCAUUGUGAGCUGCUCCCCGGCGUCUUUGUACCUUUCGCCGUUUCUUUGUUUCUUUUUCUUUAUUUGGCGUGUGGUUGUAAUCUUGCACUGUAAUCCUGGCCGGUUGAUGGCUUUGUUAAUUCAAAGUCGGGCUCAUCUGGAGCCUUCAUUCUAAAAAAAAGAAGUUCUUCUGCUGGCUACUGAUGCAGCGACGUAUACACACAAGGGACGUGCUGCUCCGGAAGUGCAUCGUCGAAGCGGAAGGCGCUGGCUGCCCGCUUUGCCCAGCUGCCCUGGAAACUGCGGACCAUCUGCUCUUUGCCUGUCCAUUCGCGACUGACUUUUGGCGGAGCGUGGAAAUCGCCGUGGACGGCGUCACUGUCUGCAAACUCUCUGCUCUUACAACUGCAGCUGCGGUGGCCGUCGGCUCUGCAGUGGAAUUCUCCAUGCUGUGUUGUUGGCAGCUCUGGAAGCACCGCAACGCUGUAGUUUUUCAGCGGCUGCCGCCGUCUCGUGCUCGCCUGCUCUGCUGCUGUCGGGAGGACGCGGUUCUGUGGCGUGGUCGGCUGCCUGUAGCUCAUCGCCCGCAUGUGGAUGCUUGGCUGCGCGCGCUCUCCCCAUAGCGCGCGUGGUGCGUGCCCGUUCUGGGCCCUCUCUCUCGCUCGCUUUGUAAAGACAGGGGGUCGUUUGUAACUUCAAAAAAAAUGCGCUUUCGGGUGUGAAAUAUUGAACAUUUGGCACCGUUAUCCAGCAGAGUUCAAGCGUUUUUGUACAUUUUAUUAAACAGUGGGUUCAGUACCUUGAUGGCUUACUAAUGUACCAGUGCUAGUAGUGCUUUUCAGUUUUCACAGACAGUGGCUUCUUUGAUAACAGAAGAAUCCAUGUUGAGAACAGAAGCGGAGAACUAAGCUUGAGAUAAUCAUAUAGGAGUACGUACCUAGAUAAAGUAUUUUCACUUGUCGUUUGCGUACGUGUCUGCAGUCGGUGGGACUUCAUGUUUCAGCAAUUUAAUUAAAGGCCAUCUAGUACUUCUCUUUCGAAAAGAUUAAAGGUCAGCUAUUAGAUCCACAAAUAAUGCUUAAAACUAGGACACAUUUAGUGAUGCCACAUGGACCUAAUCUGGUAUUUUCCAUAAGUAAACCUGUCUGCUCUGGUCCAAAUGGGCUGGCUGGUUGUCUCACUGUGCAUGCGUGACUGCAUAGUAUGGGCAGGCGGCAUAAAGAGAGGGGAGAUGAAAAGCUUGUGACACUGAUGGCAACACACUCAUCACAGAAUCGAUGACUGAUAUUCCCAAAUCCCAAAUGACAUACUCCUACAACAGAGCGAAAAGCUAGCUACAAGGUGUCCAGGUUCAAUGCACUCGAUCCCUGUCGUCGUUCAAAGUUCAGACCCAGAUGAUGACUAGCUUCAAAGCAGAGGAGAUACUUGGAAAGGGCGUGGCGAUGGAGAUGGAGAUGAAGAUGGAGAUACUUAGGUAUAAAUAUCUUUGGAGAAGCAUCGAUCAUUCGCAGAGGCGAGAUGACGGCGAUGCGGCGGGAGCUUUUCCUCUUCUUCCUAAUGCCGUCGUCGUCGUCGUCCUCGCAUAAUGUUAGAGAGGCCGCCGUCGUCGUCCUCGCAUGGAGUUCCCCCAUUCGCACUUCUUGGCUCUCUAGUUCGUCGCUAUCAGUUCGAUCAGGUAGGGAGGAGGGUUUUGUCCCUGUGAUCUCCCUCGUGAUUUUCGUAUCCUAGGGGAGAUGUGGUUGUAUCUUUUCCUUCUCCACUUGCUGCGUGUUGUUGUUGCAGCUUGAUUGUAUGCUUGUUUAUCAGGGCAUCUCGUCUCUUUUGGCUACUUGUGUGUUACUUUCGUCAUGUGUUUGUUCGGAUGAACUCCGGAAAUGCAUGCUUGUGUGGGUUUGUUUCUGGAUGCGAUUAUGUUUAUAGCUGCGGUGUCUGAACUUUGAUCCAAAUGUACGAUCCAAAUGCACUAUCACGCCACAGUAAUGUACUCUGAUCCACAUAGUUUUCGGUCACAUUCAGUUUACAAUCUCCCGCAAAAGAAAAAAAAAGACAUUCAGGUUGCAAUGACGUGCUGUAAUUCACACGACAGGAUGAGCUCAGCUCGAAACCCUAAACCCAUUCCACAGCAAACACGACCAGCUCAAACCAACAAGGCGUGUCCACACCCACGGAUGACCUUAACCAGCUACAUGUCCAUAAGUGACCAUAUAGAUAGAUAUAAAAAGUUUUCUUUUAGACAACACUAGUGGAAAAAGGCUCAUUUGUUCCGGUUCCAGAUGCCCAUUUGUCCCGGUUCAGGAUCCGGGACUAAAGGGUCGGGAUUAAAGCCCAUGACCUUUAGUCCCGGUUCGCUCACGAAUUGGGACAGAUGGGGCUCCACGUGGCCGCUGCGGCUUGCCCAGGCAGGAGGGCCUUUAGCCCUGGUUGGUAACACCAAGCGGGACCAAAAAGCAUCCACGCGUCAGCANNNNNNNNNNNNNNNNNNNNNNNNNNNNNNNNNNNNNNNNNNNNNNNNNNNNNNNNNNNNNNNNNNNNNNNNNNNNNNNNNNNNNNNNNNNNNNNNNNNNNNNNNNNNNNNNNNNNNNNNNNNNNNNNNNNNNNNNNNNNNNNNNNNNNNNNNNNNNNNNNNNNNNNNNNNNNNNNNNNNNNNNNNNNNNNNNNNNNNNNNNNNNNNNNNNNNNNNNNNNNNNNNNNNNNNNNNNNNNNNNNNNNNNNNNNNNNNNNNNNNNNNNNNNNNNNNNNNNNNNNNNNNNNNNNNNNNNNNNNNNNNNNNNNNNNNUAGGGGUUUCAUAUAUUGUGUUAGCUAGCUAAUAGAGAGAAAUGACCUCUCUUAUCUCCAUGCUUGGUCGACGCUACGUACUAUACGUAUAGAGGACUCGACACGCUAGAUAGUAAGAAAAUGAAGGAAACCAUUAAGUACAGAAGAUCGUCAUGAACAUAUACAGAGAGAAGUGAUCGACCUCUCCUUCUCCGAGAGAUUGGUCGAACAACAAGUUUUCGUAUAUAUAUCCGACGCGACUAGCUACAUAUAUACAGUAUAAGAUCUAUUACAAUCAUUAAAGUCUGAAGUCAAGUUCCACGUCGUAUUCUCUGGCUUUAUUGAUGACGUGGUCAAGAAAGAAUCCCGUCAAUUCCUCUUGAAUUGCUUUUAUGCGAUCAUGUGGUAGGAGCUCAUCCCGCAGCUGCCAGAUCUAAAUCGAUGAAGAGGGUCAAUACAUGUGUAUGAAUGAAACUCAACGCAAAUGAUGGUAAUAAAAUACAAUUGCGAAUAUUUUUGCUUACGCACUUGAUAUUGUUUUUCAGUGUAGCCCCGCUUAUUCUUGGUUGUCUCAUUGUAGAUGAACUCGCAAAAGUAGUAUCCACAUAAAUUAUUUCCUUGUUCCUGCCACAAGCAUUUUACGAGAAAUAGAGGUCAAUCAAACUGAUAAGCAAGCAUGCUAAAUGCUAUUGAUGAAACUAGCUACAAUCAAUGGGAGAUGCGCGGAACUAGGUAGUAGUACUUACUUUCGGUUGUUUAAAUGUCAGCUCGGUCGGCAGUCCCGGAGAAAUUGCGGUGAACUCUUUCCAAACUCUGUCUGACAAAGAAAAUAAUUACUUGACACUACUAGGGAAAACCUUAUACACAGAAUCUUAGCAGCAGCGCGGCUCCAAAAGAGGCGCUACUGCUAAUUAUCAGCAGCGCGUGCGUGCAAAAUUCGCUACUGAAACGGAGUUAGCAGUAGCGCGCUUGGAGCAACCCACGCUGCUACAAAUAUCGACCGACAGUGUCCUCCAACCUACAUUUAGCAGCAGUGCGUUGUCGCGACCCGCGCUACUGCUAAAGCGUUAGUAGCAGCGCGCUUUUUCUGAGGUCGCUACUGCUAAUUUUCAAAUUGGGCACACUGUUGGUCCCAGUUAGCAGUAACGCUUGUGUGGGAAGCGCGCUGCUGCUAAUUUCUUAUCAGCAGCGCGUUUUACCACCCGCGCUACUGCUAAGCCACACUAGCCCACCACCUUUCCCCACCCGUCCUCCCCUCCCCCAUCUCCUCACUUCCCUCCUCCCUACCCCCCCACAUCCUCCCUCUCUCACUCUUCUUCUUCCUCAAUACUUCUCCCCCAUUACUCUCCCUCUCCUACCUACCUUUCUCUCUCUUUCAUUACUCCUAGCUAACUACACCACCUCCAUUAAUGCAUCUCCUUUCUCUUUUUCCUUCCCCCUCCACUAGUUUAAGUUGUCUCCUCCCAAAUUAGCUAGCUAGGUAGAUGUAGCAUUUAGUUAAGUGACCUAUUUGCCCCCUAACUAGAUCUAUCUUUGUCAAGAAGAGCUUUGUGCACUUUUGAUCUCCCUAUAUCAUCAUCUCCACCGUGUGCUCGAUCUCGAGAUAGAGGUGAUUAAAAUUUCAUGCUUUUGCAAAAUGGAAAUAUGUUUAUGUGUGUGUGAUAUGAUAAUUGGGAGAUAUGAUGGAAAUUGUGUGUGUGUCAUGAGUUGACGCCAAAUUAUGCUUUUGAGUUGCCUAUGUUUUGCCGAAAUGUCAAUUUAUUUCCGUUUCAGCGAAUUCCGGGCAAACUCUAGAUCUAUAUAUGUCCUAUUUUUAGGGAAGGUCAUGCCGAAUUUUUGUAUGACUUUGAUGCAUGCAUGCAUUUUUAUAAUCAAUUUGUUUAUUAUUACCGUACAGAGUUCACGAUGGUCAGUGGAACAAUGGUGGACAGGUGGUUGCGGUCGGCGGUGCAGGACAUGAAAGAAAAUAACUGGACAGAGGUUUUAUGUCUGUGUCGAAAAUGCAAAGGAAUAGUUUGGCUCAAUCCCCAUGAUGAUGGUCGUGUCGAAGCGCACCUGCUCAUGACUGGUUUCAUGGAUGGCUAUACUCAGUGGAUAAUUGAAGAUGAGGAUGACGAUGUUGAGGUGUAGCGACCAGACCUCAAACAGUCUGAUCUCUGUGCAUCAGUGUCAUCACUGGAUCGGUUAUGCUGACACGCACAAUACUCAAAGGAUUUAUAAUAGAGUAGCAAUCACACACUUAUUACAUCAAAUGUCUCAAAAAAGAACUUAUUGCAAAUAAAUAUGGCUUAAGGCCAUCUAAAUAACGAUAACAGCGGAAGGCUUCGAAGAUAAGCGGGUCCCCUACAUCUGCUAGUCUACCUCUUCAAGAGUUCACACAAUUUAAUCAACUAUGCUAGACCCAUAAUAGCUUGUGGCUGCACACGGAAGUUUCUAGCAUGAAUAAAUCUCACGAUCCAUAGGAGAAUCAUACGGUACCCCGGGAUUUCCAAAAAUAUAGACAACACUGGGUUCCCCAGGCGCCUCAAUCUACCCAGAUGUGAGUUUAAGUUGCCACCUUAAGUAAACCAUUAAAUAACAAUCUCACAUCUGUCAUGGAUACACUCACCCAAUCCACGUCUACUAGCAUAGCAUAGCAACAUAAGCAAACGUAAAAGUAGCUCCCAAAGGUUUGAUAAAACAGGUAAUAGGUACUACCUCAUCUACAUCCCACAACCCUCAUGUUAAUCAAAUCCUAAUCAUGCAUUUGUUUGAGGAUUGAUCUAAUGCAAUAAAACUGGGUAGUAAACGAGGUAUGAUCAGAGUGUUACUUGCCUUGCUGAUGAUCCGUGAAACCUAGAGAUUUGAAGUAGCAAGCGGCGCACUCCGGGUACUCUAUCACAAACAAACAACCAUACAAUAAGCACUCAUCUAAUGCACAGGUAAAACUCAAAUAAGUGAUCUAACCAGAAAGUUCAACUUAAGAACUCCGGUUUGCACAAAGAAUCAAAUCAAAUGAAGCAACGAGAAACAAACGAUGAAAGAAACUAGCUUCGUUUACUAAUCUGGACCUAAGUCAAAUUUUACAGUAGAAAAAACUUGUUUGAUUAGGUUAAAGGGAAAGAGGGUUUUGAGACGAAACUCUAGGCGCUUGAAUCUCCUAAUUCCGAUAAACGAGCGAAAAGUUAUACUAAAACAAAAAUCGGAUCAGAAAUCGCGAUCAGAAAUAAUCACGGAAAAUCCGAGAAAAAGAAAAACGGACGAACAGGCUAACGAAUGAACGUUCGCUGUCUGCGGCUAAACGACAAAAACCGUUCGUUAAAACGAACGAAUGAACCGGUGUUCGUUAAAUAACUAAACCGAAGAAAAAAAUAAACCGAUCUACAUAAAAAAUAAACCGGGUUCCUAAAAAAUCGACGGUUUUCUCUCGAAAACCGCGGCGGCGACGGGGACUACCUCCGGCGGGUCAACGGGCGGCGGCGGUGGGCCGCUCCGGCGGCGGCGGGUGGCUCUGGCGGCGGCGGGGUCCGGUGACGGCGGCGGAACAGGCAGCGGCGGCGNNNNNNNNNNNNNNNNNNNNNNNNNNNNNNNNNNNNNNNNNNNNNNNNNNNNNNNNNNNNNNNNNNNNNNNNNNNNNNNNNNNNNNNNNNNNNNNNNNNNNNNNNNNNNNNNNNNNNNNNNNNNNNNNNNNNNNNNNNNNNNNNNNNNNNNNNNNNNNNNNNNNNNNNNNNNNNNNNNNNNNNNNNNNNNNNNNNNNNNNNNNNNNNNNNNNNNNNNNNNNNNNNNNNNNNNNNNNNNNNNNNNNNNNNNNNNNNNNNNNNNNNNNNNNNNNNNNNNNNNNNNNNNNNNNNNNNNNNNNNNNNNNNNNNNNNNNNNNNNNNNNNNNNNNNNNNNNNNNNNNNNNNNNNNNNNNNNNNNNNNNNNNNNNNNNNNNNNNNNNNNNNNNNNNNNNNNNNNNNNNNNNNNNNNNNNNNNNNNNNNNNNNNNNNNNNNNNNNNNNNNNNNNNNNNNNNNNNNNNNNNNNNNNNNCGGCGGCGGCGGCAGCGUGGAUCGUGGGCGGCGGCGGCGCUAGGGUUCGGCGGUGGCGCGGGCUGGGCUUGGGUGGCGGUGGGCUUUGGGGGCUGGGGGGUCCCGCUCGGGUACGACCCGGAGUAGGUUUCGUUUUUUAAAACAUUAUGCGCAAAAAAACAAAUAAAAGAAAUACUAAAAUGACUCCAAAAAUCCCGAAAUAAAUUUUCCCUGACUUCUAAAGCCAAGCCGGACAAGAUGAACAUUUAUUUGGGGCCUAAAUGCAAUUUUGAAAAACACGCAUUUUUCCUAAAUUCAAAUAAAAUAGCAAUAAACUCCAAAAUAAAAUCUUAUUUGAUUUUAUUAUCAAAUCCUCAAUAUUUCUUUAUUUUGGGAAAGUCAUUUUCUUCCCUCUCUCUUAUUUUUAUUUUAGAAAUAAUUGAAGAUAAAAUAAAUAAAAUCAAAUGAUCCUAUUUUCAAAAUUUGAGAAAACUCAAAUAUGAAAAUAACGAAAUCCCCAACUCUCUCCGUGGGUCCUUAAGUUGCGUAGAAUUUCUAGGAUCGAGCCAAAAUGCAAUAAAAUAUGAUAUGCAAAUGAUGAUCUAUGUAUGACAUUCCAAAUUGAAAAUUUGGGAUAUUACAAACCUACCCCCCCUUAAGAUGAAUCUCGCCCUCGAGAUUCGGGUUGGCUAGAAAAUAGGUGAGGGUGGUCCUUCAACAGAUCUUCCUCUCGCUCCCACGUGGCUUCAUCCUCGGUAUGGUGGCUCCACUAAACUUUGCAAAACUUGAUAACCUUGCUGCGGGUCACUCGGCUGGCAUACUCGAGAAUCUUAACUCGCUUCUCCUCGUAGGUCAAAUCAUUAUCCAACUGAAUCGCUUCCGGCGACACUGUAUCUCUCAGCGGUAUAUCAACCAUCUAUGCGUGGCACUUCUUGAACUGGGAAACAUGAAACACAUCGUGAACUCCUGACAAUCCUUCGGGCAAUUCUAAUUUGUAAGCAACUUCUCCCAUACGCUCCAAAACUUUGUAGGGUCCCACAAAACAUGGCGCUAACUUUCCCUUAACUCCAAAGCACUUAGCUCCUUGAAGUGGAGAUACAGGAAGAUAAAGUCUAUCUCCGACUUCAUAAACUGUCUCCUUAUGUUUAGAAUCUGCAUAACUCUUCUGCCUAGACUGGGCUACCUUGAGCCUAUCAUGAAUCAACUUCACCUUCUGUUCAGACUCUUUAAUUAAAUCUGGUCCAAACAACUGGCGGUCUCCAACUUCAUCCCACAACAAUGGGGUCCUGCACCUCCUUCUGUACAAGGCUUCGAAAGGGGCCAUCUUCAAACUGGAUUGAUAACUGUUGUUGUAAGAAAACUCCGCAUACGGAAAAUUUUCGUCCCAACUAGUUCCAUAAUAUAGCGCACAAGCUCUCAGCAUGUCCUCCAGAAUAUGAUUUACUCUCUCGGUCUGUCCAUCUGUGUGCGGAUGAAAGGUUGUACUGAACUCUAGCCUGGUACCUGAUACAUCUCCAACGUAUCUAUAAUUUUUGAUAGUUACAUGCUAUUAUAUUACCCCUUUUGGAUGUUUAUGGACUUUAUUUUACACAUUUAUAUCAUCUUUGGGACUAACCUACUAACCGGAGGCCCAACCCGUAUUGCUGUUUUUUUUGCCUAUUUCAGUAUUUCGAAGAAAAGGAAUAUCAAACGGAGUCGAAACGGAAUGAAACCUUCGGGAGCGUGAUUUUUGCAACAAACGUGAUCCAGAGGACUUGGAGUGCAAGUCAAGAAGCAGCCGAGGCGUCCACGAGAGCGUAGGGCGCCCCCCAUAGGGCACGCCCCUUGUCUCGUGGGCCCCAUGGGCGGCCACCGACGUACUUCUUCCUCCUAUAUAAGCCUACGUACCCCGAAAACAUCCAGGGAGCCAUUGAAACACAAUUUCCACCGUCGUAACUUUCUGUAUCCGCGAGAUCCCAUCUUGGAGCCUUCGCCGGCGCUCCACCGGAGGGGGAAUCGACCACGGAGGGAUUCUACAUCAACACCAUAACCCCUUCGAUGAGUUGUGAGUAGUUUACCACAGACCUUCGGUUCCAUAGUUAUUAUCUAGAUGGCUUCUUCUCUCUUUUUGGAUCUCAAUACAAUGUUCUCCCCCUCUCUUGUGGAGAUCUAUUCGAUAAACUCUUUUUGCGGUGUGUUUGUCAAGAUCCGAUGAAUUGUGGGUUUAUGAUCAAGUUUAUCUAUGAGAAAUAUUUGAAUCUCCUCUGAAUUCUUUUAUGUAUGAUUGAGUUAUCUUUGCAAGUCUCUUCGAAUUAUCAGUUUGGUUUGGCCUACUAGAUUGAUCUUUCUUGCCAUGGGAGAAGUGCUUAGCUUUGGGUUCAAUCUUGCAGUGUCCUUACCCAGUGACAGCAGGGGUUGCAAGGCACGUAUUGUAUUGUUGCCAUCGAGGAUAAAAAGAUGGGGUUUAUAUCGUAUUGCAUGAGUUUAUCCGUCUAUAUCAUGUCAUCUUGCUUAAGGCGUUACUCUGUUCUUAUGAACUUAAUACUCUAGAUGCAGGCAGGAGUCAGUCGAUGUGUGGAGUAAUAGUAGUAGAUGCGGGCAGGAGUCGGUCUACUUGUUACGGACGUGAUGCCUAUAUACAUGAUCAUGCCUAGAUAAUCUCAUAAUUAUUCGCUUUUCUAUCAAUUGCUCGACAGUAAUUUGUUCACCCAGCGUAAUACUUAUGCUAUCUUGAGAGAAGCCAGUAGUGAAACCUAUGGCCCCCGGGUCUAUCUCUUAUCAUCUUUUGCUUCCAAUCUACUUGUAUUUGCAUCUUUACUUUUUGCAUAUAUAUUAUAAAAUACCAAAAAUAUAUCUAUCUUAUCAUACUAUCUCUAUUAGAUCUCACUUUCGCAAGUGGUCGUGAAGGGAUUGACAACCCCUUUACUGUGUUGGUUGCGGGUUCUUUGUUUGUUUGUGUAGGUGCGUGGGACUUUUGAGGAGCCUCCUACUGGAUUGAUACCUUGGUUCUCAAAAAUGAGGGAAAUACUUACGCUACUAUUGCUGCAUCACCCUUUCCUCUUCAAGGAAAACCAACACAAGCUCAAGACGUUGCAAGAAGGAUUUCUGGCGCCAUUGCCGGGGAGGUCUUCGCUCAAGUCAAGACAUACCAAGUACCCAUCAGAAACUCAUCUCCCUCGCAUUUACAGUAUUUGCCAUUUGUCUCUCAUUUUCCUCCCCCCCACUUCACCCUUGCCGUUUUAUUCGCCCUCUCUUUCCCAAUCUCCUCCUCUCUCUUUCGCUUGCCUUUUUCUGUUUGCUUGUGUGUUCGAUUACUUGUUGCCAUGAUGCAAGAUAAUACCAAAUUGUGUGAUUUCUUGAAUACCAAUAAUAAUGAUUUCCUUAGCACUCCGAUUACUCCUCUUAAUGAUGUUGAGUCUUGUGAAAUCAAUACUGCUUUGCUGAAUCUUGUUAUGAAAGAUCAAUUCGUCGGCUUUCCUAGUGAAGAUGCCGCUACUCAUGUAAGCAACUUUGUUGAUUUGUGUGAUAUGCAAAAGAAGAAAUAUACGGAUAAUGAUAUUGUUAAAUUGAAGUUAUUUCCGUUUUCACUUAGAGAUCGUGCUAAAGUUUGGUUUUCGUCUUUGCCUAAAAAUAGUAUUGAUACUUGGAACAAGUGCAAAGAUGCUUUUAUCUCUAAGUAUUUUCCUCCCGCUAAGAUUAUCACUCUUAGGAACGAUAUUAUGAAUUUUAAACAACUUGAUCAUGAGCAUGUUGCCCAAUCUUGGGAAAGAAUGACAUUGAUGAUUCGCAAUUGCCCUACUCAUGGUUUGAAUUUAUGGAUGAUCAUACAAAAUUUUUAUGCCGGUUUGAACUUUGCUUCUAGAAAUCUCUUAGAUUCGGCCGCGGGAGGCACGUUUAUGGAAAUCACGUUAGGAGAUGAUACAAAAAUUCUUGAUAAUAUUAUGGCUAAUUAUUCUCAAUGGCACAUGGAAAGAUCUUCUAGUAAAAAAGGGCAUGCUAUAGAAGAAAUCAAUGUUUUGAGUGGAAAGAUGGAUGAACUUAUGAAAUUGUUUGCUACUAAGAAUACUCCUCUUGAUCCCAAUGAUAUGCCUUUGUCUACUUUGAUUGAGAAUAAUAAUGAAUCUAUGGAUGUGAAUUUUGUUGGUAGGAAUAGUUUCGGUAACAAUGCUUAUAGAGGAAACUUUAAUGCUAGACCGUUCCCUAGUAAUUCCUCUAGUAAUUAUGGAAAUUCCUACAAUAAUUCUUAUGGUAAAUUUAAUAAGAUGCCCUCUGAUUUUGAGAAUAGUGUGAAAGAAUUUAUGAUCUCUCAAAAGAAUUUUAAUGCCUUGCUUGAAGAAAAAUUGCUCAAAGUUGAUGAUUUGGCUAGGAACAUUGAUAGACUUUCGCUUGAUGUUGAUUCUCUUAAACUUAGAUCUACUCCUCCUAAGCAUGAUAUCAAUGAGUCUCUCAAAGCAAUGAGAAUUUCCAUUGAUGAGUGCACGGAAAGAAACGCUAGAUUGCGUGCUAAGAAAGAUUGCUUUAUAAAGGCGUGUCCUUCUAGUUUAGAUGAAAAUAAUGAUAAAGAUCUUAAAGUUAUUGAUGCGUAUCCUAUUAGAUCUUUGUUUUGCAACAUGAAUCUUGAUAAUUAUGGGACUGGAGAUGAGUCAACUUUACCUAGAAGGCGUCCCAAGAAUUCGGAGUUUUUAGAUCUUGAUGCUAAAUUUGGUAAAAGUGGGAUUGGAGAGGUCAUGACUUUAAAUAGUAUUCAACCCACUAUCUCGGAUUUCAAGGAAUUUGAUUAUGAUAAUUGUUCUUUAGAAAGUUGUAUUUCCUUGUUGCAAUCCGUCUCCUCAUGCUUAUAGUCAAAAUAAAGCUUUUACCAAACAUAUUGUUGAUGCCUUGAUGCAAUCUUAUGAUGAAAAACUUAAUUUGGAAGUUUCUAUACCUAGAAAACUUAAUGAUGAGUGGGAACCUACUAUAAAGAUUAAACUAAAGAUCAUGAGUGUUUUGCUUUAUGUGAUUUGGGUGCUAGUGUUUCCACGAUUCCGAAAACUUUAUGUGAUAUUCUAGGUUUCCAUGAUGUUGAUGAUUGCUCUUUAAAUUUGCACCUUGCGGAUUCCACCAUUAAAAAGCCAAUGGGAAGGAUCAAUGAUAUUCUCAUUGUUGCAAAUAGAAAUUUGGUGGCCGUAGAUUUUAUCGUUCUUGAUAUAAAAUGCAAUCUUUCUUGCCCUAUUAUUCUUGGUAGACCUUUCGUUAGAACGAUUGGCGUGAUUAUUGAUAUGAAGGAAGGGAAUAUUAGAUUCCAAUUUCCAUUAAAGAAAGACAUGGAGCACUUUCCAAGAAAGAAAGUCAAAUUACCUUAUGAAUCUAUCACGCGGGCUACUUAUGAAUUUAGUUCCAAAGAUGGCACUACUUAGAUCUAUCUUCGCUUUUAUGCCUAGCUAUGGGCGUUAAACGAUAGCGCUAGUUGGGAGGCAACCCAAUUUUCUUUGUGCUUUUUGUUUUUGUUCCUGUUUAGUAAUAAAUCUUGCAUCUACCUCCUAUUUAGAUGUGUUUUUAUCUUUUAAUUAGUGUUUGUGCCAAGUAGAACCUAUAGGAUAACCUAUGAUGAUAGUUGAUUUGACUCUGCUGAAAAACAGAAACUUUGCGCGCACGAAUUUAGUUUUGUUAAAUCACAGAAACGUCAUUUUGCAUUGACUCUUUUUUCUGCUGAUAAAUAGAUAAAGUUUACAGGACUUCCUAUUUUGGUAGGAUUUUUAGAGUUCCAGAAGUUUGCGUUAGUUACUGAUUUCUACAGACUGUUCUGUUUUUCACAGAUUCUGUUUUUCGUGUGUUGUUUGCUUAUUUUGAUGCAUCUAUGGCUAGUAAAAUAGUUUAUAAACCAUAGAUAAGUUGGAAUACAGUAGGUUUAACACAGAAAUAAAUAAAGAAUGAGUUCAUUACAGUACCUUAUGUGGUGGUUUUCUUUUCUUUCACUAACGGAGCUUAUAAGAUUUCCUGUUGAGUUUUGUGUUGUGAAGUUUUCAAGUUUUGGGUAAAGCAUUUAUGGACUAUGGAAUAAGGAGUGGCAAGAGCCUAAGCUUGGGGAUGCCCAUGUCACCCCAAUAUAUUCAAGGAUAGCCAAAAUCCUAAGCUUGGAGAUGCACCGGGAAGGCAUCCCCUCUUUCGUCUUCGUUCAUUGGUAACUUUACCUGGAGCUAUAUUUUUAUUCGCCACAUGAUAUGUGUUUUGCUUGGAGCGACGUGUAUUAUAUAUUAGUCUUUGCUUUUUAGUUUACCACAAUCAUACUUGAUGUACACACCUUUUGGGAGAAGCCUACUUGAUUAGAAUUUGCUAGAAUACUCUAUGUUCUUCACUUAUAUCUUUUGAGCUUGAUAGUUUUUGCUCUAGUGCUUCACUUAUAUCUUUUAGAGCACGGUGGUGGCUUAAUUUUGAAGAAACUGCUAGUCUCUCAUGCUGCACUUAUAUCUUUUUGAGAGUAUUUUAGAACAGCAUGGUAUUUGCUAUGGUUACAAAGUUGGUCCUAGAAUGAUGAGCAUCCAAGUUGGGUAUAAUAAAAACUAUCAUAGAAAGGAAUUGGAUGCUAUGAUCAAUUUGAUGCUUGAUAAUUGUUUUGAGAUAUGGAGGUAGUGAUAUUUUUUUUGACCUGAAUGGAGGUAGUGAUAUUAGAGUCAUGCUAGUUGAGGUGAUCAUGGAAAAUACUUGUGUUGGGGUUUUUGAUUCCCGUAGCAUGCACGUAUGGUGAACCGCUUUGUGAUGAAGUUGGAGCACAAUUUUAUUUAUUGAUUGUCUUCCUUAUGAGUGGCGGUCGGGGACGAGCGAUGGUAUUUUCCUACCAAUCUAUCCCCCUAGGAGCAUGCGCGUAGUACUUUGUUUUUGAUGACUUCUAGAUUUUUGCAAAAAGUAUAUGAGUUCUUUUGACUAAUGUUGAGUCCAUGGAUUAUACGCACCCUCACCCUUCCACCAUUGCUAGCCUCUCUUGUGCCGCGCAACUUUUGUCGGUAUUAUACACCCACCAUAUACCUUCCUCAAAACAGCCACCAUACCUACCUAUUAUGGCAUUUCCAUAGCCAUUCUGAGAUAAAUUGCCAUGCGACUUUCCACCGUUCUAUUCAUAUGACACGCGUUGCUUUUGUCAUAUUGCUCUUUGCAUGAUCAUGUAGUUGACAUCGUAUUUGUGGCAAGGCCACCUUCUUAAUUUUCAUACAUGUCGCUCUUGAUUCAUUGCAUAUCCCGGUACACCGCCGGAGCCAUUCAUAUAGAGUCAUAUCUUGUUCUAGCUUUGAGUUGUAAUUCUUGAGUUGUAAAUCCAUAAAAGUGUGGUGAUGUUCAAUUAUUAGAGCAUUGUCCUGCUGAGGAAAGGAUGAUGAAGGCUAUGAUUCCCCCACAAGUCGGGAUGAGAAUUCGUACUUUACAAAAACAGAAAAAGAAAAAAAGGGAAAGGCCAAAAAAAGAAAGGCCAAAGAAAAAAAAGGGGAAAAAGGAAAAGAAAAAUAAUAAUAAAAUGAGAUAAAAAGAGAGAAGGGACAAUGAUACUAUCUCCUUUUCCACACUUGUGCUUCAAAGUAGCACCAUGAUCUUCAUGAUAGAGAGUCUCAUAUGUUGUCACUUUCACAUACUAGUGGGAAUUUUUCAUUAUAGAACUUGGCUUGUAUAUUCCAAUGAUGGGCUUCCUCAAAAUGCCCUAGGUCUUCGUGAGCAAGCAAGUUGGAUGCACACCCACUUAGUUUCUUUUGUUGAGCUUUCAUAUAUUUAUAGCUCUAGUGCAUCCCUUGCAUGGCAAUCCCUACUCACUCGCAUUGAUAUCUAUUAAUGGGCAUCUCCAUAGCCCGUUGAUACGCCAAGUUGAUGUGAGACUAUCUUCUCCUUUUUGUCUUCUCCACAACCACCAUUCUACUCCAUGUAUAGUGCUAUGUCCAUGGCUCACGCUCAUGUAUUGCGUGAAAGUUGAAAGAGUUUGAAUUAUUGAAGUAUGAAACGAUUGCUUGGCUCGUCAUCGGGGUUGUGCAUGAUUAAAUACUUUGUGUGAUGAAGAUAGAGCAACAGCCAGACUAUAUGAUUUUGUAGGGAUAACUUUCUUUGGCCAUGUUAUUUUGAGAAGACAUGAUUACUUUGAUUAGUAUGCUUGAAGUAUCACCAUUUUCAUGUUAAUAUGAACUUUUAUUUUGUAUCAUUUGUAUCUGAACAUUCAUGCCACAAUAAAGAAAAUUACAUUGAGAAUUAUGCUAGGUAGCAUUCCACAUCAAAAAUUUCUUUUUUAUCAUUUACCUACUCGAGGACGAGCAGGAAUUAAGCUUGGGGAUGCUUGAUACGUCUCCAAUGUAUCUAUAAUUUUUUAUUGUUCCAUGCUAUUAUAUUACCCCUUUUGGAUGGUUAUGGGAUUUAUUUUACACAUUUAUAUCAUUUUUGGGACUAACCUACUAACCAGAGGCCCAGUCCCGUAUUGCUGUUUUUUUGCCUAUUUCAGUAUUUCGAAGAAAAGGAAAAUCAAACGGAGUCCAAACGGAAUGAAACCUUCGAGAGCGUGAUUUUCGGAACGAACGUGAUCCAGAGGACUUGGAGUGCAAGUCAAGAAGCAGCCGAGGCGGCCAUGAGAGGGUAGGGAGCCCCCCUCUAUAGGGCGCGCCCCCUGUCUCGUGGGCCCACAGGCGGCCACGGACGUACUUCUUCCUCCUAUAUAAGCCUAUGUACCCCGAAAACAUCCAGGGAGCCACCGAAACACAAUUUCCACCACUGUAACCUUCUGUAUCCUUGGGAUCCCAUCUUGGAUCCUUGGCCGACGCUCCGCCGGAGGGGGAAUCGACCAUGGAGGGCUUCUACAUCAACACCAUAGCCCCUUCGAUGAGUUGUGAGUAGUUUACCACAAACCUUCGGGUCCAUAGUUAUUAGCUAGAUGGCUUCUUCUCUCUUUUUGGAUCUCAAUACAAUGUUCUCCCCCUCUCUUGUGGAGAUCUAUUCGAUGUAAACUCUUUUUGCGGUGUGUUUGUCAAGAUCCGAUGAAUUGUGGGUUUAUGAUCGAGUUUAUCUAUGAGAAAUAUUUGAAUCUCCUCUGAAUUCUUUUAUGUAUGAUUGAGUUAUCUUUGCAAGUCUCUUCAAAUUAUCAGUUUGGUUUGGCCUACUAGAUUGAUCUUUCUUGCCAUGGGAGAAGUGCUUAGCUUUGGGUUCAAUCUUUCGGUGUCCUUACCCAGUGACAGCAGGGGUUGCAAGGCACAUAUUGUAUUGUUGCCAUCGAGGAUAAAAAGAUGGGGUUUAUAUCAUAUUGCAUGAGUUUAUCCCUCUACAUCAUGUCAUCUUGCUUAAGGCGUUACUCUAUUCUUAUGAACUUAAUACUCUAGAUGCAUGCUGGAUAGCGGUCGAUGUGUGGAGUAAUAGUAGUAGAUGCAGGCAGGAGUCGGUCUACUUGUUACGGAUGUGAUGCCUAUAUACAUGAUCAUGCCUAGAUAAUCUCAUAAUUAUUUGCUUUUCUAUCAAUUGCUCGACAGUAAUUUUUUCACCCACCGUAAUACUUAUGCUAUCUUGAGAGAAGCCACUAGUGAAACCUAUGGCCCCCGGGUCUAUCUCUUUUCAUCUUUUGCUUCCAAUCUACUUUUAGUUGCAUCUUUACUUUUUGCAUCUAUAUUAUAAAAUACCAAAAAUAUAUCUAUCUUAUCAUACUAUCUCUAUUAGAUCUCACUUUCGCAAGUGGCCGUGAAGGGAUUGACAACCCAUUUAUUGCGUUGGUUGCGAGUUCUUUGUUUGUUUGUGUAGGUGCGUGAGACUUGUGAGGAGCCUCCUACUGGAUUGAUACCUUGGUUCUCAAAAACUGAGGGAAAUACUUAUGCUACUAUUGCUGCAUCACCCUUUCCUCUUCAAGGAAAACCAACGCAAGCUCAAGACGUAGCAGUACCCAAAGUUUCAUGUAAGUGAUUCCAGAACUUUGAGGUAAAUUCGGUUCCCCUAUCUGAUACAAUGCUCCUCGGAACUCCAUGCAGGCAUACCAUCCUGGUCAUGUAUAUCUUUGCCAACUUAGCACUAGUAUAAGUGGUCUUCACUGGGAUGAAAUGAGCUACCUUCGUCAAAAGAUCGACUACAACCCAUAUCGAAUCAUAGCCUGAAAAACUCCUGGGCAAUCCUGUGAUAAAAUCCAUGCAUAGCUUAUCCCACUUCCAUUCGGGUAUCGGCAAUGGUUGUAGCAAUCCUGCUGGCUUCUGAUGCUCUGCCUUCACUCUCUGACAUACAUCACAAACUGCUACAUACUCCGCAAUAUCCUUCUUCAUUCCUGUCCACCAGAAAGUGUCCUUAAAAUCCAGAUACAUCUUGGUAUUUCCUGGGUGAAUCGAGUACGGUGAAUCAUGGGCCUCUUGCAGAAUCAACUUCCUGAUCUCCGGGUCAUUGGGCACAUAAACGCGGUCUUCAAACCAUAAAGUAUCGUGCUCAUCCUCACGAAAUCCUUUAGCUUUUCCUUUACUCGUCCUCUCCUUUAUUUCGUCAAUCUCUUUGUCAAUCUUCUGAGCUUCUCUGAUCUUAUCCAUCAAGGUCGACUGAAUCUCCAAUGCUGCAACAUAGCCUCUUGGAACUAUCUCCAAACAAAGUUCACGAAGAUCCUCGGAUAACUCCAUUGGUAACUCGUCGGUCAAGAGUGUGUUGACAUGGCUCUUGCGGCUCAACGCAUCGGCUACUACGUUAGCCUUUCCGUGAUGAUAAUGCAAUCUCAUAUCAUAAUACUUGAUGUGCUCCAACCAUCUCCUUUGCCUGAGAUUCAGCUCCUUCUGUGUGAAGAUGUACUUCAAACUCUUGUGAUCCGUGUACACCUCACAAUGGUUUCCGGUGAGAAAAUGUCUCCAUGUCUUCAAUGCAUGCACUACGACUGCUAAUUCAAAAUCAUGCGUAGCAUAAUUCAACUCGUGAGGCUUAAGCUAUCAUGAGGCAUACAAAACAACUCUUCCCUCCUGCAUAAGCACUGCUCCAAGUCCUCGACGUGAAGCGUCGCAAUAAACAUCAUAAUCCUUGCACUGAUCGGGCAGAAUCAAUACUGGUGAUGUAACCAAAUGUUUCUUCAACUCCUGGAAACUGGCCUCACAUUCCUCAGUCCAUUUGAACUUGAUAUCCUUCUUUAACAAUUCCGUCAUGGGCUUCGCAAUCUUUGAGAAAUUCUCAAUGAAUCUCUGGUAGUAUCCUGCGAGCCCAAGAAAACUCUAAAUCUCUCCAACUGUUGUCGGGGCUUCCCAAUUUGUCACAGUGACAACUUUGGUGAGGUUUACUGCUAUUCCUUCUCCGGAUAUAACAUGUCCGAGGAAUCCAACUUCCUUCAACCAAAACUCACAUUUGCUGAACUUGGCAUAUAAUUGAUGUUCUCUGAGCUUCCCAAGUACCAAUCACAAAUGCUCAUUAUGCUCCUCUUCAUUCUUCGAGUAGACCAGAAUAUCAUCAAUGAACACCACAACGAACUUAUCCAAAAACUCCAUAAACACCUUGUUCAUCAUGUUCAUGAAAUAUGUAGGUGCGUUAGUCAGACGAAAUGACAUAACGGUAUACUCAUACAGCCCGUACCUGGUGGUAAAAGCUGUCUUAGGUAUAUCCUGCUCUCGAAUCUUCAAUUGGUGGUAUCCUGAUCGCAUAUCGUUCUUGGAAAAUACCUUAGCUCCUUGCAAUUGGUCAAACAAAUCAUUGAUCAUCAGCAAUGGGUACUUGUUCUUGAUUGUCACUUCAUUCAAUCCUCGAUAAUCAAGAACCAUCCUUAAAGAUCCAUCCUUCUUCUCCACUAGAAGCACUAGUGAUCCCCAAGGUGAGGAACUUGGGCGGAUAUAUCCUUUAUCCAGUAACUCCUUAAUCUGCUUCUUAAUUUCCUCCAAAUCUUGUGCGGGCAUCCUAUAUGGUCUCUUAGAUAUUGGCCCGGUGCUUGGCAAAAGCUCAAUCAAAAACUCAAUGUCUCUAUCUGGUGGCAUGCCUGGCAACUCUUCUGGAAAUACGUCAGGAAAAUCCUUCACCACUGGUACUUCCUCCUGUACAACUCCUGAUAAGGAAUUUACUUGGGUCCUCUUUGGCUCAUGCCGUGACACAUACUUGAUCCUUCUUCCUUCUGGGGUGGUAAGCAAAAUAGACUUACUAGCACAAUCGAUGUUUCCUCCAUACAUUGAUAGCCAAUCCAUACCCAGAAUCACAUCCAAGCCUUGCGAUUCCAAAACUAUCAAAUCCGAAGGAAAAAUAUGCCUGCCUAUGGCCAAUGGUACUUGAAAACAUUCUUGACUGACCAUAUACUCCCCUCCUGGUGAGCUUACUAGCAUAGGUGUUCUAAGAACUUUGGAGGCAGCUUAUACUUAUCCACAAAUCCCCUUAUUAUGUAUGAAUGCGAUGCACCAGUAUCAAAAGAACGAUUGCAGUAAAUGACUUAACUAAAAACUUACCUAUUACUACACCUGGCUAGGCUUCAACCUCCCCCACGCCAACGUGGUUUACAUGUCCCUUGUUGAAAGGGUUCGGCUUCUUCCCAGAGCUUCCAUUUCCAUUUCCAUUCUUCACUUCUGGGCAUUCAGUGGCAUAAUGUCCAGUCUUCUGGCAUUUGUAGCAGGUGAUGUGGCUCGGAUCCCUUUUGGCUGGGGUUGAUGGGUUGGUGCGGUUCUAUCCGUUGGUUCCUCCAUUCCCAUUACCAUUCUUGGGGCCACUAUGGUUGUGCGAACUAGCUCCUCCAUGGGUAUGCUGAAAAUGUCCUCCCGAAUUCAGGGUAAAACGAGGCUUCUGCUGAGCUCCAGAAUUGUACUUCCCUUGUCCAUACUUCCUCUUGCGGUUGUCAAUCUGCUGCUGCUUUCCUUCAAUCAUGAGAGCAUGAUCUACCAACUCCUGGUAGUUGUUGAAGGUUGCCACCAUCAACUGCAUGCUCAGCUCAUCAUCCAGUCCUUCCAAAAACUUCUCUUGCUUAGCUGCGUCCGUAGCAACGUCAUCUGGGGCAUAACGUGCUAACUUACUAAAGUCAUCCACAUACUGGCCAACUGUCCGUCCUCCUUGCCACAAGUUGCAAAACUCACGCUUCUUCAUGGCCAUAGCUCCUGCUGAAACAUGGGCAGUACAAAAAGCCUGCUGGAACUGAUCCCAUGUGACAGUGUCGAUAGUAUAAGUGGCUGUGAAAUUCUCCCACCAUGAUGCUGCGGGUCCAUCAAGCUGAUGUGCAUCAAAGCGCACCUUCUUUGCAUCUGUGCAUCCUGCAGUGGUUAACUCCCUUCCCAUCUUGCGGAGCCAAUCAUGUGCAACUAUCGGCUCGGUGCUACUGGAGAACACCGGCGGAUUAAGUCUCAAGAAACGGGCUAAGUGAUCAACAGGUGGUGGUGGUGGUGGGUUGUUGUUGUUGUUCCCCUGAUUCUGAUUCUGGACUAGGAUCUGCAUCAACGCAUUCUGCUGCUAGAUCAACUGAGUGAGCUCCGGUGGGAAAGCAAAUCCAUUGUCACGUCUCGGAGGCAUCUGAGGGUUUUAGAGAAGGUGAGAAUAUACAAUAGAAUGAGGUCUAUAGAGAAAACACUACCCAUAUGCACAUGAGACAAAUGCAAACAAUAUCACUUCAAUCAAUUCAAACAAGGGCAUACAACGGUCUAACCGUCGUUAUAAAAGUGCUCAGACUAUACUAUACACAUGGAGGAAUUCUACUACUGUUAUGGUGGUCGACUAGAAAAACUGCUCGGUCGAAGACUCCAUGAUAUCUGCUACAACUUCAUCAACAAAUUAAUCAUCACUAUCAUCUGGGUCCGAGUCGAUGUCGUUGAUGAUUAUGUAGUUCUCCGGGCAAGUGCAGUCGUUGUCUUCUCCUCCAGUCGCGGGAAAUCCCAUAAAUACUUUUAACUUCUUCUUUAGGUCUUCAUUCUUCUCCACGAGUGCCGUCAUUUCCUCCUCAUAACCAUCACGUGUAGACUUGAGUUCUUGUUCCAGCUCCGUGAUCUUGGUCAAUGCCUUCUUCAGAUCUAUCAUGCCUGCGCACAUCUGGUUCUCCUGGCAACGAAUGUGCUGGUUUAACUCCUGGAUCGAAGCUGCAAUUGAUCUAUCCUUCCUGGUGCUGAUCAUCUCCCAUUGCUCAUCUUGGCGCCCACAAAUCUGGUAGAUAGUAUCCUUGAGAUCCUUGUGGUAAACUUCUCCAAUGCGUCCCAUGGUGAUGUGGGCUGCCAUGCUCUUACCUAGACUCCAGGUUGGUGCAUCAAAGGGAAACUCUAUGGGCUCAGUGAUGGGCAUGAACGUCCUUCCUAGAACUUGAACUUGAAUCAUCCAACGCUCCUCUUCUGGUAAAGUGGCGAUGUAGGUCCCGGUGAAGCUUGGUACUCCAAUGUUCAGGUAUCUAGUGACUUCCUUCAAGUGGCGUCCAAAGGGUGUAUCUUCAUCCGGUUGCGUAAACUUGUUCCUUACAUCCGCCAUCCUAAAAGAGUAGAAAAGAUGAGGAGUCAGAACUGAGAAGAGAGUAGUGAUCUAGGGCUUUAGCUUAGUGGUCGUGUCCUACAGUCAGCGUGUGCUUUGAUACCAUCUUGUAGCGACCAGACCUCAAACAGCCUGAUCUCUGUGCAUCAGUGUCAUCCCUGGAUCGGUAAUGCUGACACGCACAGUACUCGAAGGAUUUAUAACAGAGUAGCAAUCACACACUUAUUACAUCGAAUGUCUCAAAAGAGAACUUAUUGGAAAUAAAUAGGGCUUAAGGCCAUCUAAAUAACGAUAACAGCGGAAGGCUUCAAAGAUAAGUGAGUCCAUCAACUCCAACGGCAUCACUGAGUAUAAGAUCACGACCUUACUCAUCGUCUGAAAAGUCUGCAACAUGAACGUUGCAGCCCGAAAACGGGUCAGCACAUGGAAUAUGCUGGCAAUGUAACACAUAGAGAGUAAUGAACAGAAUAAUGCUAUACUACAUGCAUAUAUGGCUGGUGGAAAGCUCUAUGGUUACAGCUUUGCAUAAAGCCAAUUUUUCCCUACUACAAAGGAAUAAAUUUUAUUUAACUACCAUGGUGGUUGUUAAACAUUGAGAAGGGUACUCCAACUCAAUCCCAAUUAAGCAUCAUCAUUAACCCAACAAAAUUAAUUUAAAGUAACAUGAGGAGAUUCACAUGAUAAUCUAGGUACUAGAUACUCAAAACGUCCAUAACCGGGGACACGGCUAACCAUGAUUAGUUUAUACACUCUGCAGAGGUUUGCGCACUUUUCCCCACAAGACUUGAUCUCCUCCGUUGGAUUUCUCUCACUACAGGGUCUUUGAGAAACGGAUGACCGAGACACAGUCUUUCAGAAGCUUAAACUCCCUACUACAGGUAGACAGUUACACCUACUUUCCCCUACAUCUGCUAGUCUACCUCUUCAAGAGUUCACACAAUUUAAUCAACUAUGCUAGACCCAUAAUAGCUUGUGGCUGCACACGGAAGUUUCUAGCAUGAAUAAAUCUCACGAUCCAUAGGAGAAUCAUACGGUACCCCGGGAUUUCCAAAAAUAUAGACAACACUGGGUUCCCCAGGCGUCUCAAUCUACCCAGAUGUGAGUUUAAGUUGCCACCUUAAGUAAACCAUUAAAUAACAAUCUCACAUCUGUCAUGAAUACACUCACCCAAUCCACGUCUACUAGCAUAGCAUAGCAACAUAAGCAAACGUAAAAGUAGCUCCCAAAGGUUUGAUAAUAAAACAGGUAAUAGGUACUACCUCAUCUACAUCCCAAAACCCCCAUGUUAAUCAGAUCCUAAUCAUGCAUUUGUUUGAGGAUUGAUCUAAUGCAAUAAAACUGGGUAGUAAAAGAGGUAUGAUCAGAGUGUUACUUGCCUUGCUGAUGAUCCAUGAAACCUAGAGAUUCGAAGUAGCAAGCGGCGCACUCCGGGUACUACAUCGCAAACAAACAAGCAUACAAUAAGCACUCAUCUAAUGCACAGGUAAAACUCAAAUAAGAGAUCUAACCAGAAAGUUCAACUUAAGAACUCUGUUUUGUAAAAAGAAUCAAAUCAAAUGAAGCAACGAAAAACAAACGGCGAAAGAAACAAGCUUCAUUUACUAAUCUGGACCAAAGUCAAAUUUUACAGUAGCAAAAACUUGUUUGAGUAGGUUAAACAGAAAGAGGGUUUCAAGAUGAAACUCUAGGCGCUUGAAUCGCCUGAUUCCGAUAAACGAGUGAAAAGUUAUACUAAAACGAAAAUUGGAUUAGAAAUCACGACCAGAAAUAAUCAUGGAAAAUCCGAGAAAAAUAUAAACGAACGAACAGGCUAACGAACGAACGUUUGCUGUCUGCGGCUGAACGACGGAAACCGUUUGUUAAAACGAAUGAAUGAAAGGGUGUUCGUUGAAUAACUAAACUGAAGAAAAAAAAUAAACCGAUCUAUAUAAAAAAAUAAACCGGGUUCCUAAAAAAACCGACGGUUUUCUCUCAAAAACCGCGGCGGCGACGGGGACUACCUCCGGCGAGUCAACGGGCGGCGGCGGCGGGUCAACGGGUGGCGGCGGCGGGUCAACCAGUAUGUGGAAAACUCGUAGGCACCGGAUUAGCGAUGGAUAAUUAUGCCGGAUGCGGUUCGUCAUGUAACAGUCAUAAUAUAGGGUGACACAACACUAGCUCCAGUUCAUCAAUGUAAUGUAGGCAUGUAUUCCGUAUAUAGUCAUACGUGCUUAUGGAAAAGAACUUGCGUGACAUCUUUUGUCCUACCCUCCCGUGGCAGCGGGGUCCUAUUGGAAACUAAGGGAUAUUAAGGCCUCCUUUUAAUAGAGAACCGGAACAAAGCAUUAGCACAUAGUGAAUACAUGAACUCCUCAAACUACGGUCAUCACCGGGAGUGGUCCCGAUUAUUGUCACUUCGGGGUUGCCGGAUCAUAACACAUUGUAGGUGACUAUAGACUUGCAAGAUAGGAUCAAGAACACACAUAUAUUCAUGAAAACAUAAUAGGUUCAGAUCUGAAAUCAUGGCACUCGGGCCCUAGUGAAAAGCAUUAAGCAUAGCAAAGUCAUAGCAACAUCAAUCUCAGAACAUAAUGGAUACUAGGGAUCAAACCCUAACAAAACUAACUCGAUUACAUGAUAAAUCUCAUCCAACCCAUCACCGUCCAGCAAGCCUACAAUGCAAUUACUCACACAUAGCGGUGAGCAUCAUGAACCUAGGGAUGGAGGAUGGUUGAUGAUGACGAGAACGACGAAUCCCAUUCUCCGGAGCCCCGAACGGACUCCAGAUCAGCCCUCCCGAGAGAGAUUAGGGCUUGGCGGUGGCUCCGUAUCGUGAAACGUGAUGAUUUCUUCUCUCUGAUUUUUUCUCCCUGAAAGCCAAUAUAUNNNNNNNNNNNNNNNNNNNNNNNNNNNNNNNNNNNNNNNNNNNNNNNNNNNNNNNNNNNNNNNNNNNNNNNNNNNNNNNNNNNNNNNNNNNNNNNNNNNNNNNNNNNNNNNNNNNNNNNNNNNNNNNNNNNNNNNNNNNNNNNNNNNNNNNNNNNNNNNNNNNNNNNNNNNNNNNNNNNNNNNNNNNNNNNNNNNNNNNNNNNNNNNNNNNNNNNNNNNNNNNNNNNNNNNNNNNNNNNNNNNNNNNNNNNNNNNNNNNNNNNNNNNNNNNNNNNNNNNNNNNNNNNNNNNNNNNNNNNNNNNNNACCCCCGUCGACAGGGUGUGGGCCCCCUGGUCUUCAUCUUUUGCGAGGAUUUUUCUUUAUUUUUUCUAAGGUGUUCCGUGGAUUUUCAGGUCAUUCCGAGAAUUUUUAUUUUCUGCACAAAAAACAACACCAUGGUAAUUCUGCUGAAAACAGCGUCAAUCCGGGUUAGUUCCAUUCAAAUCAUACAAGUUAGAGUCCAAAACAAGGGCAAAAGUGUUUGGAAAAGUAGAUACAACGGAGACGUAUCAACUCCCCCAAGCUUAAACCCUUGCUUGUCCUCAAGCAAUUCAGUUGACAAACUAAAAGAGAAAAAGAAAAACUUUUACAAACUCUGUUUGCUCUUGUUGUUGUAAACAUGAAAAGCAGCAUUCAAGUUUCAGCAAUUAUUAUGAACUAACCGUACUCACAAUGACACGUACGUCUCACAAUUACUCAUAUCAAUAGCAUAAUCAGCAUGUGAGCCAUAAUAAUAAAACUCGGAUGACAACACUUUCUCAGAAUAAUCAUAACAUGAUAUAACAAAAUGAUAUCUUGCUAGCCCUUUCUGAGACCGCAAAACAUAAACGCAGAGCACCUUUAAAGAUCAAGAACUGACUAAACAUUGUAAUUCAAGGUAAAAGAGAUCCAGUCAAGUCAUACCCAAUAUAAACCAAUAAUAAUGAAUGCAAAUGACAGUGUGCUCUCCAGCGGGUACUUUUUAAUAAGAAGGGUGAUAACAUAAAAGUAAAUGGAUAGGCCCUUCGCAGAGGGAAGUAGGGAUUUGUAGAGGUGCCAGAGCUCGGUUUUGAAAUAGAGAUAAAUUAUAUUUUGAGCGGCAUACUUUCAUUGUCAACAUAACAACUAAAAGACGAUGAUAUCUUCCAUGCUAAACAGAUUAUUGGCGGUUCCCAAACAGAAUGGUAAAGUUUAUACUCCCCUUCCUCCACAAGCAUCAAUCCAUGGCUUGCUCGAAACAAUGAGUGCCUCCAACAUUCAACGGGUCCCAAGGGGAGUUUGUUUGACGUUAUUUUGAUUUAGUUUGCAUAAAGCAUGGGACUGGGCAUCCCGGAUACCAGCCAUUUUCUUGUGAAUGAGGAGUGGAGUCUACUCCUCUUGAGAAUAACCCGCCUAACAUGGAAGAUAAGGGCAGCUCUAGUUGACAUAUGAGCUAUUCGAGCAUGCAAAACAGAAUGUUUAUUUGAAGGUUUAGAGUUUGGCACAUACAAAUUUACUUGGAACGGCAGGUAAAUACCGCAUAUAGGUAGGUAUAGUGGACUUAUAUGGAAUAACUUUGGGGUUUAAGGAGUUUGGAUGCACAAGCAGUAUUCCCGCUUAGUACAGGUGAAGGCUAGCAAAAGACCGGGAAGCGACCGACUGAGAGAGCGACAAUAGUCGUAAACAUGCAUUAAAAUUAAUUCACACCGAGUACAAGCAUGAGUAGGAUAUAAUCCACCAUGAACAUAAAUAUCAUGAAGGCUAUGUUGAUUUGAUUCAACUACAUGCGUGAACAUGUGCCAAGUCGAGUCACUCAAUACAUUUAAAGGAGGAUACCAUCCCAUCAUACCACAUCAUAAUCAUUCUAAUAGCAUGUUGGCAUGCAAGGUAAACCAUUAUAACUCAUAGCUAAUCAAGCAUGGCACAAGCAACUAUAAUCUCUAAAUGUCAUUGCAAAUAUGUUUACUUCAUAAUAGCUGAAUCAAGAACAAUGAAUCAUCAUAUUUACAAAAACAAAAGAGGUCGAGUUCAUACCAGCUUUUCUCUUCCCAAUAAGUCCAUCAUAUAUCAUCAUUAUUGCCUUUCACUUGCACGACCGGAUGGUGUGUAUAAUAAUAAGAGUGCACGUGCAUUGGACUAAGCUAGAAUCUGCAAGCAUUCAACUCAAGAGAGAAGACAAGUAAUAUGGGCUCUAAGUUAAAUAAACAAUCAUGCAUAAAGAUCCACCAAGCAUUUUCAAUAUGGUAUUCUCGACCCCCAAAGAAAGGAAAAGAAAUAAAAACUAUUUACACGGGAAAGCUCCCAACAAGUAAAAGAAGAACGGGAAAUAUUUUUGGGUGUUCUUUUUAAUUCUACUACAAGCAUGGAAAGUAAACUCACUAUUUUUUUGUUUUUUUCUUAAGCUUUAACAAACACACAAGAAGAAAGCAGGAAAAAGAAAUUUAAACUAGCAUGGAUAUUACAGUGAAAAAGUAUGAGCACUGACAUCUAGCAAUGAGUGUGUGUGUGAACAUGAAUGUAAUGUCGGUGGGAAAUACGUACUCUCCCAAGCUUAGGCUUUUGGCCUAGGUUGGUCUAUUGCCAGGGAUGGCCUGGCGGAUACCCGUAGGUGUAGCUGGGGUCGUAGUGUGACGAAGAAGAUUCUGAUUGCCACUGGCUGGCAGCCUCCUCUGGAUCCCAAGAAUAAACAGAUAGUCGCGGAGGCUCAUCUUGUUGCUCCGGCUCCGGGCCUGGUGCAGGAUUCCGAUAGGCUUGAACAGCCGAUCAUGGAACGAUGUGAGGUUCUGCAGACAAGUUAAAAAAAGAAGGAGCAUGCAACGUAAUAGUCUCAGGGUGAUGUUUAUCAAAGUAUAAUUUAUAUUUGAGCUCCCCAUCGCGACUCUUAACAAGAAAAUCAUGUGCUAUCAUACUCUUAUAAUCUAAAUAAGCACAGGGCAUCGCUGUUUCUUCUUUCUCCUCAUGCCUAAUAGGUAUUUCAAAAUGUUCAGCUAGGUGUGAAGCAUAAAUGCCUCCAAAGAUGGGGUCCUUAGUGCGGUUCAAACUUAACCGUCUAGCAACAAUUCCACCCAUACUAACAGAGUUAUUGCGCUAUAAACCAUGGAGCAAAAUAAUAAUAUCAGGAAUACUAAGGUUCCCACAGUUCCCGCGUCCAAUCAAGCAACGACUAGCAAAUAAGGCAAAGUAGCAUAAAACAGGAUAAUGUAUGCUAGUGAUCCUCGCGUCAGAAACCUUCCUGGUUUCUUCCACCGUGAUAGUGUUAAUAAAAGCUUCUACUUCGUUACGGUGGGCUUCAUCUAUGGUGCCCUCAAAGGGUAUUCUACAAACCCUGCAGAAUUCAGCUAAUGUCAUCUCUUUAACAAUGUCAUAUAAAUGAAACUCUACUGUUGGAGGUGAUUUCUUAGGGAAAAAGUAGAAGUUUUGCACAAAAGUAUUUGUUAGUAAGAGAUACCGAUGACGUUGGUCGUGGAGGAAGUUGGUGAGGCCGGCGUUCUCAAUCAAUAAAUAGAAAUCCUCAUAAAUCUCGGCUCUCCUCAAGAAGUCAUCGGAGGGCCAUUCACACGGCCGGACCUCCGCGGUGCGGGGAAAAUUGAAUUUGGGCUUCUCCUCUUCUUCCUUUUGUUUUUCCUUAGAGCUUUGGCUCGACAAGCCCCUCAAAAAUUUCUUCAUUAUUUCUGAAACAAUCUGAAAUUUUUAGUAACUUCAAAUAAAAGUGAACCAACUUCAAUAAAAUUGAUAGUAACAACUCCUACAAGUGCCUAGAGCCUAUACAAAGCAUUGGAACUGCUUGGAACCAUAUAAAUUUGACAUGCAAGUUCAAGAACAUUGUCACCUAUGCAGUACAAAUUUGCAAUGAAUAAAGCACUAGAACAAAAACUAAUUGGACCAAUGGAGGAGUCACAUACCAAGGAACAAUCUCCCCAAGCAGUUUUGCAAGAGGUGCUUUGAGCAAGGAGAUCGAAAAUCAUAGCAACGGGGGCUAGAACUCGUGCUUGAGUUGGUUUUUCGUGUUUAUGUGAGACAAAGGAAGAAGAUGGGUGCAGGAAUAAGUGGAGGAGGGCCACCAUGGGCCCAUGAGGCAGGGGGCGCGCCUAGGGGGGUAGGGAGCGCCCUCCACUCUCGUGGCCAGGUGGCAGCUCCCCCCGUGGUAAUUUUUGCACGGUAAAUUCUUAAAUAUUCCCGAAAAAAUCAUAUUAAAUUGGCAUGGCAUUCUCAGGACUUUUAUUUUCGGGAUAUUUUUAUAUUGCACGGGUAAGUCAGGAAACAGACAGAAAAAUAUUAUUUUACUUUAUUUUUACUAAAUAAUGGAAAAUAUAGAGAGGGUACAGAAGGUUGUGCUUCUAGUUUCAUCCAUCUCGUGAUCAUCAAAAUGAACCCACUAACAAGGUUGAUCAAGUCUAGUUAACAAACUCAUUCCAAAUAAUCACGGAACCGGAGAAAUUUCGAAUGACGCUAAGUUACCUCAACGGGGAUAUGAAAAUCCCCAACAAUAAGAAUAUCAUACUUUUUCUUGACAGUAGGGAGAGGAAAUUCAAAACCUCCAAAUAUAAUCCAUGGAAUUUUUCCAAUAGAGUUGAUACUAUAAACUUGAGGUUGUUUCCUCGAAAAAUGUACCGUGUGCUCAUUGCCAUUAACAUGAAAAGUGACAUUGCCUUGGGUGCAAUCAAUAACAGCCCCUGCAGUAUUAAGGAAAGGUCUUCCAAGAAUAAUAGACAUACUAUCAUCCUCGGGAAUAUCAAGAAUAACAAAGUCCGUUAAAAUAGUAACGUUCGCAACUACAACAGGCACAUCCUCACAAAUACCAACAGGUAUAGCAGUUGAUUUAUCAGUCAUUUGCAAAGAUAUUUCAAUAGGUGUCAACUUAUUCAAGUCAAGUCUACGAUAUAAAGAGAGAGACAUAACACUGACACCGGCUCCAAGAUCACAUAAAGCAGUUUUAACAUAAUUUCUCUUAAUGGAGCAUGGUAUAGUAGGUACUCCGGGAUCUCCAAGUUUCUUUGGUAUUCCACCCUUAAAAGUAUAAUUAGCAAGCAUGGUGGAAAUUUCAGCUUCAGGUAUCUUUCUUUUAUUAGUAAUAAUAUCCUUCAUAUACUUAGCAUAAGGAUUUGUUUUGAGCACAUCAGUUAAUCGCAUACGCAAAAAGAUGGGUCUAAUCAUUUCAGCAAAGCGCUCAAAAUCCUCAUCAUCCUUUUUCUUGGAUGGUUUCGGAGGAAAAGGCAUGGGUUUUUGAACCCAUGGUUCCCUUUCUUUACCGUGUUUCCUAGCAACAAAAUCUCUUUUAUCAUAACGUUGAUUCUUUGAUUGUGGGUUAUCAAGAUCAACAGCAGGUUCAGCUUCUACAUCAUUAUCAUUACUAGGUUGAGCAUCAACAUGAACAUUAUCAUUAGCAUUACCACUAGGUUCAUGUUCAUCACCUGAUUGUGUUUCAGCAUCAGAAAUAGAGAUAUCAUUUGGAUUCUUAGGUGGCUCGGCGAUAGGUUCACUGGAAGUUUGCAAAGUCCUAUCAUUUUUUUCUUCCUUUUAGAAGAACUAGGUACAUCAAUAUUGUUUCUUUGAGAAUCUUGCUCGAUUCUCUUAGGGUGGCCUUCAGGAUACAAAGGUUCCUGAGUCAUUCUACCAGUUCUAGUAGCCACUCUCACAGCAUAAUCAUUUUUCUUACUAUUCAUUUCAUCAAGUACUUCUUUCUGAGCUUUAAGUACUUGUUCUACUUGAGUGGUAACCAUAGAAGCAUGUUUGCUAACAAAUUUAAGUUCACCUCUAAGAUCAGCCAUAUAAUCACCCAAGCGUUUAAUCAUAAAGGUAUUCUGUUUUAAUUGUCUACCAAAAUAAGCAUUAAAGUCAUCAAACUCAUCCAAGCACUGACUAGCAAUUUUAGUAGGAGGGACUUCAGCUUUAUCAUAUCUAUAGAGAGAAUUUACCUUUACUACCUGUGUCGGGAUAUCGGGAGGUUCUUCAGUGAAUAAGUAAUUGAGAUCAUAUACUUCUUCAACAGGCGGUAAAUUAAGACCAUGUAUUUCUUCAAUAGGAGGUAAAUUCUUAACAUCUUCAGCUUUAAUACCUUUUUCUUUCAUAGAUUUCUUUGCCUCUUGCAUAUCUUCGGGACUGAGAAAUAGAACACCUCUCUUCUUCGGAGUUGGUUUAGGAAUAGGCUCAGUAAUUAGCUCAGGAACUGGCUCAGGAGGUAGCUCGGGAGGUGCCCAAUUAUUUUCAUUUGCCAACAUAUUAUUCAAUAGAAUUUCAGCGUCAUCCGGUGUUCUUUCCCUGAAAAGAGAACUAGCACAACUAUCCAGGUAAUCUUUGGAAGCAUCAGUUAGUCCAUUAUAAAAGAUAUCAAAUAUUUCAGGUUUCUUAAGAGGGUGAUCAGGCAAAGCAUUAAGUAACUUGAGAAGCCUCCCCCAAGCUUGUGGGAGACUCUCUUCUUCAAUUUGCACAAAAUUGUAUAUUUCCCUCAAAGCAGCUUGUUUCUUAUGAGCAGGGAAAUAUUUAGCAGAGAAGUAAUAAAUCAUAUCCUGGGGACUUUGCACACAACCAGGAUCAAGAGAAUUAUACCAUAUCUUAGCAUCACCCUUUAAUGAGAACGGAAAUAUCUUGAGUAAAUAAAGGUAGCGCGAUCUCUCAUUAUUAGUAAACAGGGCAGCUAUAUCGUUUAACUUAGUAAGAUGUGCCACAACAGUUUUAGAUUCAUAGCCAUAAAAAGGAUUAGAUUCAACCAAAGUAAUUAUAUCUGGAUCAACAGAAAAAUCAUAAUAAUCCUAAUUAGGAACACAGAUGGUGAAGUAGCAAAAGCAGGAUCAAGUUUCAUUCUAUUUCUAAAAGAUUCUUUACUCCAUUUAACUAGCAACCUCUUAAGUUCACGUCUAUCCUGGCAAGCAAGAAUAGCUGCAGAAGAUUCAGCAUCAAAAAGAUAACCCUCAGGAAUAGCAAGCAUAGGUUCAUCAUCACUAACAUCAUUGUGUUCAGGUUCAAUAAUUUCUCUUUCUCUAGACCUAGCAAUUUGCUCAUCAAGAAAUUCACCAAGUGGCACACUAGUAUCAAGCAUAGAAGUAGUUUCAUCAUAAGUAUCGUGCAUAACAGAAGUGGCAUCAUCAAUAACAUGCGACAUAUCAGAAUCAAGAGCAGUAGUAGGUUUAGGUGUCGCAAACUUACUCAUAACAGAAGGAUAAUCUAGUGCAAGGCUAGAUGGCAGUCCCUUACCUCCCCUCGUAGUUGAGGGCAAAAUAGUAGUUCGAUCAUCUUUCAAGUUCUUCACAGUGUCCAGCAGAUAUAAAUCCUAAGUGACUCAAAGAAUAGAGCUAUGCUCCCCGGCAACGGCGCCAAAAAAAGGUCUUGAUAACUCACAAGUAUAGGGGAUCGCAACAAUUUUCGAGGGUAAAGUAUUCAACCCAAAUUUAUUGAUUCGACACGAGGGGAGCCAAAGAAUAUUCUUAAGUAUUAGCAGCUGAGUUGUCAAUUCAACCACACCUGGAAACUUAGUAUUUGCAGCAAAGUGUUUAGUAGCAAAGUAAUAUGAUAGUGGUGGUAACGGUAAUAAAAGUAAAGACAGUAAAAGUAAUGUUUUUGGUAUUUUGUAGUGAUUGUAACAAUAGCAACGGAAAAGUAAAUAAGUGUAAACCAGUAUAUGGAAAACUCGUAGGCACCGGAUUAGCGAUGGAUAAUUAUGCCGGAUGCGGUUCGUCAUGUAACAGUCAUAACAUAGGGUGACACAGAACUAGCUCCAGUUCAUCAAUGUAAUGUAGGCAUGUAUUCCAUAUAUAGUUAUACAUGCUUAUGGAAAAGAACUUGCAUGACAUAUUUUGUCCUACCCUCUCGUGGCAGCAGGUUCCUAUUGGAAACUAAAGGAUAUUAAGGCCUCCUUUGAAUAGAGAACCGGAACAAAGCAUUAGCACAUAGUGAAUACAUGAACUCCUCAAACUACGGUCAUCACCGGGAGUGGUCCCGAUUAUUGUCACUUCGGGGUUGCCGGAUCAUAACACAUAGUAGGUGACUAUAGACUUGCAAGAUAGGAUCAAGAACACACAUAUAUUCAUGAAAACAUAAUAGGUUCAGAUCUGAAAUCAUGGCACUCGGGCCCUAGUGACAAGCAUUAAGCAUAGCAAAGUCAUAGCAACAUCAAUCUCAGAACAUAAUGGAUACUAGGGAUCAAAACCCUAACAAAACUAACUCGAUUACAUGAUAAAUCUCAUCCAACCCAUCACCGUCCAGCAAGCCUACGAUGCAAUUACUCACACACGGCGGCGAGCAUCAUGAAAUUGGUGAUGGAGGAUGGUUGAUGAUGACGACGACGACGAAUCCCCCUCUCCGGAGCCCCGAACGGACUCCAGAUCAGCCCUCCUGAGAGAGAUUAGGGCUUGCCGGCAGCUCCGUAUUGUAAAACGCGAUGAUUUCUUCUCUCUGAUUUUUUUCUCCCCGAAAGACAAUAUAUGGAGUUGGUGUCGGAGGGCCACCAGGGGGCCCACGAGGUAGGGGGCGCGCCUAGGGGAGGGGGGCGCCCCCACCCUCGUGGACAGGGUGUGGGCCCCCUGGUCUUCAUCUUUUGUGAGGAUUUUUCUUUAUUUUUUCUAAGGUGUUCCGUGGAGUUUCAGGUCAUUCCGAGAAUUUUUAUUUUCUACACAAAAAACAACACUAUGGCAAUUCUGCUGAAAACAGCGUCAGUCCGGGUUAGUUCCAUUUAAAUCAUACAAGUUAGAGUCCAAAACAAGGGAAAAAGUGUUUGGAAAAGUAGAUACGACGGAGACGUAUCAGUGUCUCGCUCGGGUACGACCAGUCGGUUUCGUUUAAAAAAAACAUUACGCGCAGAAAAACAAAUAAAUGAAAUACUAAACGGACUCCAAAAAUCCCGAAAUAAAAUUUCCCCGACUUCUAAAAUCAAGCCCGACAAGAUGAACAUUUGUUUCGGGCCUAAAUGCUAUUUUGAAAAACGCACAUUUUUCCUAAAUUGAAAUAAAAUAGCAAUAAACUCCAAAAUAAAAUAUUAUUUGAUUUUAUUGUCAAAUCCUCAAUAUUUCUUUAUUUUGGGAAAGUCAUUUUAUUCCCUCUCUCUUAUUUGUAUUGUAGAAAUAAUUGAAGAUAAAAUAAAUAAAAUCAAAUGAUUCUAUUUUCAAAAUUUGAGAAAACUCAAAUAUGAAAAUAACGAAAUCCCCAACUCUCUCCGUGGGUCCUUGAGUUGCGUAGAAUUUCUAGGAUCAAGCCAAAAUGCAAUAAAAUAUGAUAUGCAAAUGAUGAUCUAUGUAUAACAUUCCAAAUUGAAAAUUUGGGAUGUUACAUGAGGACGCUGACGGGGCACGCAAUGAUGACACGGGGCAAGAUGAAGAGAUGAUCGACAAUGGCGGCGGUGAAGAGGCCGGACAUGGCGGCGGAGAAGGGGCCGGACAUGGCGGAGGAGAAGGGGCCGGACAUGGCAGAGGAGAAGGGGCCGGACUUGGCGGCGGAGAGAACGACAUGGACUCCACGCAGCAGAGUUCGUCGGUACUAUGUUCAAUCGUGCGGGACCCUCAUGUUCAAGCAUUGCUUCGCAAGGAAACGAGUACUGAGAGGGCUGCUUCUAGAGAGGAGGCUAAGUUGGAGCAAUUGGUGGUAGACUCGAACACUCCAUUGUAUGAUGGUUGCAAUCCUGAGGUGACCCGCUUGAGUUUCACGCUCCAACUCCUGAAGACGAAGGCUAAAAACAAAUGGACCGACACUAGCCUCGAUGAGCAUAUCAAGUACCUAAAGGAUGUUCUUCCUGUGGGGAAUCUAUGUCCUACUAGUGUUGAUGAGGCCAAGAAGAUCGUGUGCCCUCUUGAUCUGCCACACGUUAGAUACCAUGCAUGCAUCAACGAUGGCAUAAUUUAUCGGAAGUUGCACACGGAAAAAACAAGCUGUCCGGCGUGCAAUGCUUCUCGAUACAAGAAGGCCAUGAAGAAAUGUCCCCAGAAAGUUGUAUGGUACUUACUGAUCACUCCCCGUCUCCAGCAGUAUUUUGUAGAUCCCAAGGAAGCAAAGCUAAUGCGCUGGCAUGCAGAGAGGAAGAAUCCCCACGAUGGAGAUGAUCCGAAGCUGAGACACGUCAAGGAUGGAAGCCAGUGGAGAGCGUUGAAUAGCUUCUAUCGGUUUUUCGAAUGUGAUGCAAGGAACAUCGUGCUCGGUGCGUGUAUCGAUGGCAUGAAUCCGUUUGGCAACCAGAACACCAAUCAUAGCACAUGGCCCAUGUUUGUAUGGAUGUACAAUCUCUCCCCUGGUUGUGCAUGAAGUCGAAGUACAUUCACAUGAGCAUGCUUAUUCAAGGGCCGAAACAACCAGGAAAUAAUAUUAAUUUGUAUCUGGGGCUACUUCAAGAGGAUUUAGACACGUUAUGGAAAACACCGGCCAAGACAUGGGACGCUAGCAAAGGCGAGUAUUUCUACAUGAGAGCCGCGUUGAUCACGACGGUGCACGACUAUCUCGGUUACGGAUAUGUCGCAGGCCAGGUGUGCCAUGGAUAUUGCGGAUGCACGCGGUGCAUGGAUGAUACGACGUCUCAGCAGCUAAUGUCAAGGAAAUAUGGCGGGUCUAGGAAAAUCAUGUACAUGGGGCAUCGAAGAUGGCUCGAACAAGACGACCCAUGGAGAAACCAUGGAGAUCUAUUCAAUGGUCAAUCUGAGCAUCGAGGACCUUCACGUAAGCGGAGCGGUGCCGGAAUCGAUGAGCUGUUGAAAAACUGGACGGAGUGCCCCGCGCUGGGAAAGACGAUGAGAAAGGCGCUAGAGCCGCUGCUGAAGGUAUGGAAGACGAGGUCUGUGUUCUGGGACAUGGAAUACUGGCACAAACUUGAUACACCUCAUUGCCUUGAUCAAAUGCAUAUCUGUAAGAAUGUCCUUGAGAGCUUGCUCGCAACACUGAUGAGCAUGCCGGAUAAGACCAAGGAUGGGCCGAAGGCAAGAAAAGACUUGCAAGAUUUGAAAAUCAGGGAAGAUCUGCACAUGCCGCCCCGUAAAAUGUCAGAUGAGACAGAGACGGAGAUAGAGGCACGGGAGAAGAAGGGCAAGAAAAUAAAGAAAGAUGAUUAUUGCCCCCCUUCUUGCUUCACCUUAAGUCAGGCUAAGAUCGAUCAAUUCUUUAAGUGCCUUACCGGAGUCAAAGUUAGUUCCGGUUACUAUGGAAAGAUAAGCAGAUAUCUAGACACGAACAAGAAAAGGUUCAGCGGGAUGAAGUCCCACGACUGUCAUGUGAUGAUGACGCAGAUAAUACCUAUUGCCCUUAGAGGGAUAACGGGCAAGCACGUCCGUGACACGCUUAUUGGUCUCUACAACUUUUUCGACGUCAUCUGUCGAAAGUCGAUCAGUGUGAAGUAGCUUCGUAAGCUACAGGAAGAGAUCGUUGUGAUACUGAAUGAGCUUGAGAUGUACUUCCCGCCCGCGUUAUUUGACGUGAUGGUGCAUCUGUGUCUCCAUAUUGUGGAUGACAUAAUAGACCUGGGGCCGUCAUUCCUGCACAACAUGAUGCCGUUUGAGAGGAUGAAUGGGAUCAUCAAAGGAUUCGUUCGUAACAUGUCCCGUCCGUAUGGAAGCAUCGUCCAGGGCUAUGUGACACAAGAGUGCAUCUCUUUCUGCGAGAAUUUUCUAUAUGGCGCAGACCAGCCGCCUAGUGUUAGUGUUGGUUUGCCCGUUAACAAGCACGAUGGGAAGCUUGAAGGAGAAGGUCACUGCAACGGUCGCAAGGAACUGUACGUGGCAUACUCAGAUCGAUGUAGCGACUUUGACAGAGCAAACUUGGUAGUGCUACAACACCUAGACGAGGUAGAUCCUUUCGUGGCACUGCAUAAAGAAAUUAUCGCAAGGAAGUAUCAUGACCGGGGGGUAUGCAGGACGGACGCCAAAGUUACUAGAGAGCACAACUCCAUUUUCCUACAUUGGUUCAAAGAGCAUAUUAUUGCUAAUCCUCUGGAGGAGGGCUCUAAGGACGGAUUGCUCAUAUACGCCUUAGCACAUGGCCCCUUGCCCAACCUCAUACCUAUCAGAGAUAUGAUAUCAACGGAUACACGUUCUACACGGAUGCCAAAGAUAUGGACAGUGAUGAUCAGAACUCAGGGGUGACGAUGGAAUGCAUGACCGGCAGCGACAACAGCGCAACUGAACGAUUUUAUGGAAGGGUCGAGGAGAUCUGGGAGCUUGACUACUCUGGACUGCACAACACGACGAUGUUCCGUGUCAGAUGGGCUAAGAAUGCCGAAAGAGAAAGCCAGAUUUUCACUAUCAUGACUAUACCCGACGCCAAGAGCGCUACAUGAACGCUAGUGCAAAAAACGAGCCAUGGGUACACGCUAAGGGUGACACAAUGCUUCUUCAUAACCGACCCGCACAAUCCCAGUCGUGUUGUCAUGAGGAGAGGCAAAAGGAAUAUCAUUGGAAUGGAUGGAGUCGCCAACGAGGAAGACUACGAUCAGUACGGCAACCCAAUGAGGGAAGAUGACAAUGAUGAUGAAGUAUACGUCAAAAGAAGAAUUAAUACUACAUUACCUAAGAAACAUCGUACUCCAUGGAAAAGGCAAAGUCACAAUGAGGGGCUCAACUAUUCUUCGACGAACAAGAAGGGAAAGAAGCUGACUCAAAAACUAAAACGUCAACGCUGAGGAACUGUAUGUUAUCGGUCAAAUGAUGUAAUAUAUAUAUAUAUAUAUAUAUAUAUAUAUAUAUAUAUAUAUUCCUAUUUUGUAUACGUAUUUAACCGUCAAAUGAUGCAAUAUAUAUCGCCUUCCUUUCAUUCACUGCUCUCGCUACAACUAGUCAAGGUAGUAGCGGUUUACUGAAAAAAAGCGAGAGAAAAUAAAGGAAAAGAAAAAGGAAAACUGGUUAUAGUAGUAGCGGUUUACUGAAAAAGAGCUAAAGCUAGUCAAGGUAGCAGUAGCGUUUUCCUUAAAAACCGCUAUAGCUACAUGUAUUAGUAGUAACGUGUUUGGUCUAAAUGCGCUACUGCUACGUCCACGUAACCGAAAAUCAUCCCUCUCUCUGCUUCAUCCCGCCUCUUUUCCCCCCAAAUCUCCAUUCUCUAUUCCCCCGUCGCACCGCCGUGCCCCGAUGCUCGCCCCCGACCCCGGCGCUCGCCCUCGACCCGGCCCUCGCCCCCGACCCCGGCGCUCGCCCCUGCUACGUCUUGAGCUUGUGUUGGUUUUCCUUGAAGAGGAAAGGGUGAUGCAGCAAUAGUAGCGUAAGUAUUUCCCUUAGUUUUUGAGAACCAAGGUAUCAAUCCAGUAGGAGGCUCCUCAAAAGUCCCACGCACCUACACAAACAAAGAAAGAACUCGCAACCAACGCAAUAAAGGGGUUGUCAAUCCCUUCACAACCACUUGCAAAAGUGAGAUCUAAUAGAGAUAGUAUGUUAAGAUAAAUAUUUUUUUGGUAUUUUAUAAUAUAGAUGCAAAAAGUAAAGAUGCAAAUAAAAGUAGAUUGCAAGCUUAUAUGAUAAAAGAUAGACCCGGGGGCCAUAGGUUUCACUAGAGGCUUCUCUCAAGAUAGCAUAAGUAUUAUGGUCGGUGAGCAAAUUACUAUCGAGCAAUUGAUAGAAAAGUGAAUAAUUAUGAGAUUAUCUAGGCAUGAUCAUGUAUAUAGGCAUCACGUCCGUGACAAGUAGACCGACUCCUGCCUGCAUCUACUACUAUUACUCCACACAUCGACCGCUAUCCAGCAUGCAUCUAGAGUAUUAAGUUCACAAGAACAGAGUAAUGCAUUAAGAAAGAUGACAUGAUGUAGAGGGAUAAACUCAUGCAAUAUGAUAUAAACCCCAUCUUUUUAUCCUCGAUGGCAACAAUACAAUACGUGCCUUGCAACCCUUUCUGUCACUGGGUAAGGACACCGCAAGAUUGAACCCAAAGCUAAGCACUUCUCCCAUGGCAAGAAAGAUCAAUCUAGUAGGCCAAACCAAACUGAUAAUUCGAACUUGCAAAGAUAACUCAAUCAUACAUAAAAGAAUUCAGAGGAGAUUCAAAUAUUUCUCAUAGAUAAACUUGAUCAUAAACCCACAAUUCAUCGGAUCUCAACAAACACACCGCAAAAAGAGUUUACAUCGAAUAGAUCUCCACAAGAGAGGGGGAGAACAUUGUAUUGAGAUCCAAGAGGAGAGAAGAAGCCAUCUAGCUAAUAACAUUGGAGCCGAAGGUCUGUGGUAAACUACUCACAACUCAUCGGAGGGGCUAUGGUGUUGAUGUAGAAGCCCUCCGUGGUCGAUUCCCCCUCCGGCGGAGCGUCGGCGAAGGCUCCAAGAUGGCAUCUCGCGGAUACAGAAGGUUACGGUGGUGGAAAUUGUGUUUCGUUGGCUUCCUGGAUGUUUUCGGGGUACGUAGGCUUAUAUAGGAGGAAGAAGUACGUCGGUGGCCGCCCGAGGGGCCCACGAGAUAGGGGGCGCGCCCUACCCUCUUGUGGCCGCCUCGGCUUCUUGUUGACUUGCACUCCAAGUCCUCUGGAUCACGUUCGUUCCACAAAUCACGCUCCCGAAGGUUUCAUUCCAUUUGGACUCUGUUUGAUUUUCCUUUUCUUCGAAAUACUGAAAUAGGCAAAAAAAAGCAAUACGGGCUGGGCCUCCGGUUAGUAGGUUAGUCCCAAAAAUGAUAUAAAUGUGUAGAAUAAAUCCCAUAAACAUCCAAAAGGGGUAACAUAAUAUCAUGGAACAAUCAAAAAUUAUAGAUACGUUGGAGACGUAUCAAGCAUCCCAAGCUUAAUUCAUGCUCGUCAUUGAGUAGGUAAAUAAAAACAGAAUUUUUGAUGUGGAAUGCUACCUAGCAUAAUUCUCAAUGUAAUUUUCUUUAUUGGGGCAUGAAUGUUCAGAUCCAAAUGAUCAAAAUAAAAGUUCAUAUUGACAUAAGAAAUAGUGAUACUUCAAGCAUACUAAUCAAAGCAAGCAUGUCUUCUCAAAAUAACAAGGCCAAAGAAAGUUAUCCCUACAAAAUCAUAUAGUCUGGCUGUUGCUCUAUCUUCAUCACACAAAGUAUUUAAUCAUGCACAACCCUGAUGACAAGCCAAGCAAUUGUUUCAUACCUUAAUAAUCUCAAACUUUUCAACUUUCACCAAUACAUGAGCGUGAGCCAUGGACAUAACACUAUAUGUGAAGUAGAAUGGUGGUUGUGGAGAAGACAAAAAGGAGAAGAUAGUCUCACAUCAACUAGGCGUAUCAACGGGCUAUGGAGAUGCCCAUUAAUAGAUAUCAAUGCGAGUGAGUAGGGAUUGCCAUGCAAGGGAUGCACUAGAGCUAUAAAUAAAUGAAAGCUCAACAAAAGAAACUAAGUGGGUGUGCAUCCAACUUGCUUGCUCACGAAGACCUAGGGCAUUUAGAGGAAGCCCAUCAUUGGAAUAUACACGCCAAGUUCUAUAAUGAAAAAUUCCUACUAGUAUAUAAAAGUGACAACAUAGGAGACUCUCUAUCAUGAAGAUCAUGGUGCUACUUUGAAGCACAAGUGUGGAAAAAGAGAUAGUAGCAUUGUCCCUUCUCUCUUUUUCUCUCAUUUUAUUUUUUUCUUUUCUUUUUCUCUUUUUCUUUUUUUCUUUGGCCUUUCUUUUUUUGUCCUUUUUUUGUAAAGUCCGAAGUCUCAUCCCGACUUGUGGGGGAAUCAUAGUCUCCAUCAUCCUUUCCUCACUGGGACAAUGCUGUAAUUAAUGAAGAUCAUCACACUUUUAUGGAUUUACAACUCAAGAAUUACAACUCAAAGCUAGAACAAGAUUUGACUCUAUAUGAAUGCCUUCGGCGGUGUACCGGGAUAUGCAAUGAAUCAAGAGCGACAUGUAUGAAAAUUAUGAAGGUGGCCUUGCCACAAAUACAAUGUCAACAACAUGAUCAUGCAAAAAGCAAUAUGACAAAAGUAAUGCGUGUCAUAUGAACAGAAUGGUGGAAAGUUGCAUGGCAAUAUAUCUCGGAAUGGCUAUGGAAAUGCCAUAAUAGGUGGGUAUGGUGGCUGUUUUGAGGAAGGUAUAUGGUGGGUGUAUGGUACCGGCGAAAGUUGCGCAGCACAAGAGAGGCUAACAAUGGUGGAAGGGCGAAAGUGUGUAUAAUCCAUGGACUCAACAUUAGUCAAAAGAACUCAUAUACUUAUAGCAAAAAUCUACAAGUCAUCAAAAAGAAAGUAUUACGUGCAUGCCCCUAGGGGGAUAGAUUGGUACGAAAAGACCAUCGCUCGUCCCCGACCGCCACUCAUAAGGAAGACAAUCAAUAAAUAAAAUUGUGCUCCAACUUCAUCACAAAGCGGUUCACCAUACGUGCAUGCUACGGGAAUCACAAACCUCAACACAAGCAUUUUUCAUAAACACCUCAACUAGCAUGACUUUAAUAUCACUACCUCCAUAUCUCAAAACAAUUAUCAAGUAUCAAAUUGAUCAUAGCAUCCAAUUCACUUUCUAUGAUAGUUUUUCUUAUACCCAACUUGGAUGCUCAUCAUUCUAGGACCAAAUUUGUAACCAUAGCAAAUACCAUGCUGUUCUAAAAGACUCUCAAAAUAAUAUAAGUGAAGCAUGAGAGACUAGAAAUUUCUUCAAAAUUAAUCCACCGCCGUGCUCUAAAAGAUAUAAGUGAAGCACUAGAGCAAAAAUUAUCAAGCUCAAAAGAUAUAAGUGAAGCACAUAGAGUAUUCUAGCAAAUUCUAAUCAAGUGGGAUUCUCCCAAAAUGUGUGUACAUCAAGGAUGAUUGUGGUAAACUAAAAAUCAAAGACUAAUAUAAUACACGACGCUCCAAGCAAAACACAUAUCAUGUGGCGAAUAAAAAUAUAGUUCCAUGUAAAGUUACCAAUGAACGAAGACGAAAGAGGGGAUGCCUUCCCGGGGCAUCCCCAAGCUUAGUAUUUUGGCUAUCCUUGAAUAUCUUGGUGUUCCAUGGGCAUCCCCAAGCUUAGGCUCUUGCCACUCCUUAUUCCAUAGUCCAUAAAAGCAUUACCCAAAACUUGAAAACUUCACAACACAAAACUCAACAGGAAAUCUUAUAAGCUCCGUUAGUGAAAGAAAACAAAACCACCACAUAAUGUACUGUAAUGAACUCAUUCUGUAUUUAAUUUGGUGUUAAACCUACUGUAUUCCAACUUCUCUAUGGAUUAUAAACUAUUUUACAAGACAUAGAUGCAUCAAAAUAAGCAAACAACACACGAAAAACAGAAUCUAUCAAAAACAGAACAAUCUGCAGCAAUAUAUAACUAAUGCAAACUUAUGGAACUCUAAAACUCCUACCAAAAUAGGAAAUCUUGGACAAUUUGUCUAUUGAUCAUAAGCAAAAAGAAUCAACGCAAAAUCACGUUUCUGUGAUUUAACAAAACUAAAUUCGUGCGCGCCAAUUUUCUGCUUUUCAGCAGAAUCAAAUCAACUAUCAUCAUAGGUUAUCCUAUAGGUUCUACUUGGCACAAACACUAAUUAAAAGAUAAAAACACAUCUAAACAGAAGGUAGAUGCAAGAUUUAUUACUAAACAGGAACAAAAACAAAAAAACACAAAGAAAAUUGGGUUGCCUCCCAACUAGCGCUAUCGUUUAACGCCCCUAGCUAGGCAUAAAAGCGAAGAUAGAUCUAAGUAGUGCCAUCUUUGGAACUAAAUUCAUAAGUAGCCCGCAUGAUAGAUUCAUAAGGUAAUUUGACUUUAUUUCUUGGAAAGUUCUCCAUGUCUUUUUUAAUGGAAAUUGGAAUCUAAUAUUCCCUUCCUACAUAUCAAUAAUCGCGCCAAUCGUUCUAAGGAAAGGUCUACCAAGAAUAAUAGGGCAAGAAAGAUUGCAUUCUAUAUCAAGAAUGAUAAAAUCUACGGGCACCAAAUUUCUAUUUGCAACAAUGAGAACAUCAUUGAUCCUUCCCAUUGGCUUUUUAAUGGUGGAAUCCGCAAGGUGCGAAUUUAAAGAGCAAUCAUCAAGAUCAUGGAAACCUAGAAUAUCACAUAAAGUUUUCGGAAUCAUGGAAACACUAGCACCCAAAUCAUACAAAGAAAAACACUCAUGAUCUUUAAUUUUAAUCUUUAUAGUAGGUUCGCACUCAUCAUUAAGUUUUCUAGGUAUAGAAACUUCCAAAUUAAGUUUUUCAUCAUAAGAUUGCAUCAAGGUAUCAAGGAUAUGUUUGGUAAAAGUUUUAUUUUGACUAUAAGAAUGAGGAGAAUUAACAACUUAUUGCAACAAGGAAAUACAAAUUUCUAAAGAACAAUUAUCAUAAUCAAAUUCCUUGAAAUCAGAGAUAGUGGGUUGGAUACUAUUUAAAGUCAUGACCUCUCCAAUCCCACUUUUAACAAAUUUAGCAUCAAGAUCUAAAAACUCCGAAUUCUUGGGAUGCCUUCUAGGUAAAGUUGACUCAUCUUCAGUCCCAAAAUUAUCAAGAUUCAUAUUGCAAAACAAAGAUCUAAUAGGAGACGCAUCAAUAACUUUAAGAUCUUUAUCAUUAUUUUCAUCUAAACUAGAAGAACACGCCUUUAUAAAGCAAUCUUUCUUAGCACGCAGUCUAGCGGUUCUUUCCUUGCACUCAUCAAUGGAAAUUCUCAUUGCUUUGAGAGACUCAUUGAUAUCAUGCUUAGGAGGAGUAGAUCUAAGUUUAAGAGAAUCAACAUCAAGCGAAAGUCUAUCAACGUUCCUAGCCAAAUCAUCAACUUUGAGCAAUUUUUCUUCAAGCAAGGCAUUAAAAUUCUUUUGAGAGAUCAUAAAUUCUUUCACACUAUUCUCAAAAUUAGAGGGCAUCCUAUUAAAAUUAACAUAAGAAUUAUUGUAGUAAUUUCCAUAAUUAUGAGAGGAAUUACUAGGGAACGGUCUAGCAUUAAAGUUUCCUCUAUAAGCAUUGUUACCAAAACUAUUCCUACCAACAAAAUUCACAUCCAUAGAUUCAUUAUUAUUCUCAAUCAAAGUAGACAAAGGCAUAUCAUUGGGAUCAAGAGGAGUAUUUUUAGUAGCAAACAAUUUCAUAAGUUCAUCCAUCUUUCCACUCAAAACAUUGAUUUCUUCUAUAGCAUGCACUUUUUUACUAGAAGAUCUUUCGGUGUGCCAUUGAGAAUAAUUAGCCAUAAUAUUAUAAAGAAGUUUUGUAGCAUAUUCUAAUGUGAUUUCCAUAAAUGUGCCUCCCGCGGCCGAAUCUAAAAGAUUUCUAGAAGCAAAGUUCAAACCGGCAUAAAAUUUUUGUAUGAUCAUCCAUAAAUUCAAACCAUGAGUAGGGCAAUUGCGAAUCAUCAAUUUCAUUCUUUCCCAAGAUUGGGCAACAUGCUCAUGAUCAAGUUGUUUAAAAUUCAUAAUAUCGUUCCUAAGAGUGAUAAUCUUAGCGGGAGGAAAAUACAUAGAGAUAAAAGCAUCUUUGCACUUGUUCCAAGAAUCAAUACUAUUUUUAGGCAAAGACGAAAACCAAACUUUAGCACGAUCUCUAAGGAAAGACGGAAAUAACUUCAAUUUAACAAUAUUGUUAUCCGUAUCUUUCUUCUUUUGCAUAUCACACAAAUCAACAAAGUUGUUUAGAUGAGUAGCGGCAUCUUCACUAGGAAGGCCGGCGAGUUGAUCUUUCAUAACAAGAUUCAGCAAAGCAGUAUUGAUUUCACAAGACUCAACAUCAUUAAGAGGAGAAAUCGGAGUACUAAGAAAAUCAUUAUUAUUGGUAUUGGAGAAAUCACAUAAUUUGGUAUUAUCUUGCACCUUGGCAACAAGUAAUCCAACACACAAGCAAACAGAAAAAGGCAAGCAAAAGAGAUAGGAGGAGAUUGGGAAAGAGAGGGCGAAUAAAACGGCGAGGGUGAAGUGGGGGAGAGGAAAACGAGAGGCAAAUGGCAAAUAAUGUAAAUGCGAGGGAGAUGAGUUUGUGAUGGGUACUUGGUAUAUAUCUUGACUUGAGCGAAGACCUCCCCGACAACGGCGCCAGAAAUCCUUCUUGCUACGUCUUGAGCUUGCGUUGGUUUUCCUUGAAGAGGAAAGGGUGAUGCAGCAAUAGUAGCGUAUGUAUUUCCCUUAGUUUUUGAGAACCAAGGUAUCAAUCCAGUAGGAGGCUCCUCAAAAGUCCGACGCACCUACACAAACAAACAAACAACUCUCAACCAAUGCAAUAAAGGGGUUGUCAAUCCCUUCACGGCCACUUGCGAAAGUGAGAUCUAAUAGAGAUAGUAUGAUAAGAUAAAUAUAUUUUUGGUAUUGUAUAAUAUAGAUGCAAAACGUAAAGAUGCAAAUAAAAGUAGAUUGAAAGCUUAUAUGAUAAAAGAUAGACCCGGGGGCCAUAGGUUUCACUAGAGGCUUCUCUCAAGAUAGCAUAAGUAUUACGAUGGGUGAACAAAUUACUAUCGAGCAAUUGAUAGAAAAGCGAAUAAUUAUGAGAUUAUCUAGGCAUCAUCAUGUAUAUAGGCAUCACGUCCGUGACAAGUAGAACGACUCCUGCCUGCAUCUACUACUAUUACUCCACACAUCGACCACUAUCCAGCAUGCAUCUAGAGUAUUAAGUUCAUAAGAACAGAGUAACGCAUUAAGAAAGAUGACAUGAUGUAGAGGGAUAAACUCAUGCAAUAUGAUAUAAACCCCAUCUUUUUAUCCUCGAUGGCAACAAUGUGCCUUGCAACCCUUUCUGUCACUGGGUAAGGACACUGCAAGGUUGAACCCAAAGCUAAGCACUUCUCCCAUGGCAAGAAACAUCAAUCUAGUAGGCCAAACCAAACUGAUAAUUCGAAGAGACUUGCAAAGAUAACUCAAUCACACAUAAAAGAAUUCAGAGGAGAUUCAAAAAUUUCUCAUAGAUAAACUCGAUCAUAAACCCACAAUUCAUUGGAUCUCGACAAACACACCGCAAAAAGAGUUUACAUCGAAUAGGUCUCCACAAGAGAUAGGGAGAACAUUGUAUUGAGAUCCAAAAAGAGAGAAGAAGCCAUCUAGCUAAUAACUAUGGACCCGAAGGUCUGUGGUAAACUACUCACAACUCAUAGGAGGGGCUAUGGUGUUGAUGUAGAAGCCCUUCGUGGUCGAUUCCCCCUCCGACGGAGCGCUGGCGAAGGCUGCAAGAUGGGAUAUCGCGGAUACAGAAGGUUAUGGUGGUGGAAAUUGUGUUUUCGGGGUACUUAGGCUUAUAUAGGAGGAAGAAGUACGUCGGUGGCCACCCGAGGGGUGGGCAUGCCUUACCCUCUCGUGGCCGCCUCGAUUGCUUCUUGACUUGCACUCCAAGUCCUAUGGAUCACGUUCAUUCCAAAAAUCACGCUCCCGAAGGUUUCAUUCCGUUUGGACUCCGUUUGAUAUUCAUUUUCUUCAAAAUACUAAAAUAGGCAAAAAAACAGCAAUACGGGCUGGGCCUCCGGUUAGUAGGUUAAUCCCAAGAAUGAUAUAAAUGUGUAAAAUAAAGCCCAUAAACAUCCAAAAGGGGUAAUAUAAUAGCAUGGAACAAUAAAAAAUUAUAGAUAUGUUGGAGACGUAUCACCCCCGACCCCGGCGCUCGCCCCCGACCCAGCCCUCGCCCCCGACCCCGGCGCUUGCUCCCGACCCCAGCGCUCGCUCCCGACCGCGAUGCGCCAUGCCUCCCUCCUCUGCUUCCUCCCCUCCCAACCUCGGCCGCCGUCGGGCCUGCCUCCUCGCCCCUGCACCCUCUAUAAACCCCCCUCUCUCCCUCUCUGCUAGCUAGGGUUAAUUAGGUUAAUUGGGUUAUUUAUUUAGUUAUGAAUUUAGCUAGGUUGAAUUUAUAUGCAAAUUUAGGUAGGCUGAAUUUAGGUAAGCUGAAUUUAUAUGCAAAUUUGAACUGGACAUGUGAUAUGUGGACAUGUCAUGUUUUGGACAUGUCAUGUUUGGAAUUUAGACAUGUCAUUUGGACAUGUGAUGUUUUGGUUCAAUUUUGGUAAAUGAUCUGAGUGGCCUAUGUUACGCCGGAAUGUUGAUUCAUUUCCGUUCCAGCGAAUUUCAGGCGCUCGAUAUGUCCAUUUUUUUUAGCAAAGGUCAUGCCGAACUUUUCCAUGAAUUUUGGCAUGAUUUGUGCUAGAUAGUAGGCAUAUCGAGUGCUGGCACAUAGAUUUCUUUUUUAUGUCAUUUCUCAUUUUUUUCAUACUUUUAGAAAUAAAUGAGGAGACUUAAUCAUAGGAAACAUGUCGAACAACAAAGAAACUGGGCCUUCUGACCAAGAUGUAGACGAGAUGGAUUAUGAGGGUGAACAAGAGUACCUCGACUAUUUGACUGCUAAGCGAGGUUUGCAGGUCGGCCUCGAUGAUGGUACUGAUGCCGACAUCGACACCGACGGUGCCGGCACCGAUGGUGGCGCCGAGACCGGCGGGGAAGGUACCGGCAGGAAAGAUACCAGCGGGGAAGGUACUGGCGCCGAUGCCGCUACCGAAAAGAAGAAGCAUAAGAAGCAGAGGAUACAAAAAUCUAACAAGCUAGGGAUUGGACGACUAGUGAUCACAAAGAUGGCACUUGGCAAGUUUGAGCCAUUAGAGCCGGAAGAACCUCGCAAGUGCUAUGGGAACCAAGUAGGAUGCAUCCUACGGGAAUGCGCGAGCAUCAACGACGACGACUUAAGGAGUAAAGAACAUUUGACGCAGUUGCUCCUAACGAAGUUGCACAAGAGAUUCAAGUUCCCCGACCGGGAUGAUAACAUAGAACAACCAUGGGAUGAUCCGAAGAUGAAAAAGAUUAACAAUCAUACCAUGGGCAUGUUCAGCAAUGAUUUGGACUCCUGGAAAGGGAGAGUGAAACGAGCUAUUGAGGCUGAGGAACCCCUAUCCAAGAUUCUGGAGGAAAAUCCGACACUUACGGAAGAGGACUUCGAAAAGUUCAAGGACACUUGCGCUACCGAGGCAGCCAAGGCUAAGGCUGCGAAAUUCAAGAACCUUCAGCAAAGGAAUGUGGGGAAGCAUCGCCUCGGAAGCCGUGGCUACCUCGGUAAAAGGCCCAUAUGGGAUAAGGAGGACGCGGAACGUGAAGCCGCGGGUCUCCCAGACCCCUUCGCGAAGUUCACCAACCCCUUGGAGCAUGACUUCAUCAGGGCCCGCUACAAGUGGGACAAGAAAAAAAAGGUUUUUUACACGGACCAGAUCACGAGGAAAUUGAUUAGACUACUGGUAGUUAUUCUUUUAGCACCUUACAUUUAGCUCCAUAUCUACUCGACUACGCAUUCCUAAACGGUUCACGCUCCUUCUACAGGAGAAGCAACACCAGCUUGCAGCCAAAAGCCCUACUUCUCCGAUGAGGCCCAAGUGAGACACCCCUCUCAACCGGGCCAUGAACGAACUUAAGGGACUCCCUUUGGGCCAGUGGCCGCAAUAUGGUCGUGUACAUGGGGCUGGAGACGGCGCCACGUGGAAGGUGUUUUACAAUGAGGGCCCGGAGGCCAAGAAGCAGAAAAAGAAGUUUAGUCAGGCGGGCAUCGACGCGAAGCUGAAGCUUGCGGUCGAGAAAAAACAGCUAAGGACGAGGAAAAAACAGCCGAGGAAAAAAAUGAGUUGCUACAGCAGGCAGUCAAUGAAGCUGUAACUGCCUGCAGAAAUGAUUUCGCUACUAACUUGGUUCCAGCUAUCAUCAACUGGACGAAGGAAAAUCCAGACAAGACGGUACAUGAUUUCCCGAUACCCAAUUUCAUCGAGAGCAACUCCAUGAACAACAACAACACCGCACCAUCACUUGCUCACACAACCGGGCCUCCUCUCGCAGUCGCUCCCGCUCAUAGCAGCCCAUUCUCCGUGUCUGGCACGCUAGGUGGGCCUUCGUCUUUGGUUGAGCUCGACGCCGUCACGGUAAUUACAUGUCGCACCAACAUAUAUAUAUAUAUAUAUAUAUAUAUAUAUAUAUAGAAUAUUACAUUUUUAUUGCCUUUCAGAUGUUUUACGCCACAGACAUAUGUGUUUGCAGGGCGAAGAAACCCCGUGCACCAUACUCUACUUGAUCAAAGGCCAGAAGGUGGACGUGGGAAAGGGGAUGAUAUUGAACCCCUUGAAACCAACGUUCCACAACCAGCCGAUCCCCGCUGGGCACUUCAGGGUUAGCUUGUCCAGUGUGAACUCGGGGCACGAGGCUUUGCCUCCUCCAAUACAUCAUGUGGGAGAGGACGACGAGACCCCGCCGCGGAUUGGAAGCUGCAAGGGUUGGGUGCUGCUAUGGCCGAAGAAUCUUAUUCGUUUGGAACCGGCCGAGAGCACACCAAUAACCACACAUCAACAAGCAUGUGCGGAGACCACCACCCCACCUACGCAAUUACUAGCUCCUGUAGUGUCGGGUGAGAGCGGCGGACGACGUGCUGAAGGGGGUGCAAUAGUAUUGGCUGAUGUAAUCGGUCCUGUAGAACAGAGAAUGGAUGAUGAGACGGAGGUCGACCCUAUGGGUUUCCCCAAUACAAAUGCGUAUGAAUGUGACAUAGAUAUUAUGAGUCAACUAUAUGACGAAUUGGGCUAUCAGCAUGCUAAUGAGGAUAUGGAUGAUAUACCCGGGAAGGAAGGUCGUUGGAAGGAUUGCGAAAAGUCUCUCUUCAUGAAUUCCUCAUAGGACAUGCCUGAAGAUGCCGCCUCAACACAGGCUCAACUAGACGGGGAUCGUACAGUGCUUAGCCCGGGAACCCUGGGGCAGGGGUUAAGGAAGGGUCUGGAAGAUGUGCCCAAGAAAAAGGAGAGGAAGAGAUCGGGGAAGAUAACUGCCUCCAAACAAGCCAAAGCACAUAAUAGCGAGAUGAUGGAUUCUGAAGAGCAUGUACCCGUGAGAGGUGCGGCCAUGUUCCAUCUCACGGGCGAGCCGAUGCUAACGCCGGAACCGCUGGAGGCACUAUCAGGGGAUCUCAGGAGACUGCACGACCAUGUGCUGUCGAUUGAGAAAAGCCUACUAGCCUCAAAGGAUCCAGGAUAUCCGACAUACACGGCUCAUGUGCCUGAGGGGAAGUGCUACGUCGACACACGGUCCGCAGAGGUGUUUUUCCUGCGGUUUGACCAUAUCUUUGAGAUGUUUCUGACAAGGCGGCUCGAUUUUACAAUCGUCCACCUUUUUGCGCUACAUAUGAGCUCCGUCAUGAAGAGUGAAGAAGUCUCGCAAAUCUGUGUGGCGGAUCCAUACUACAUGCACGGGUCUUUCUUGAGUCUCGGCGACUUUGAGCGUGAAACUGCUAGGGACUACCUCCAAAACUUCAUGGUACAGAAUAAGGACCACGAAAUUGUCCUCGUGCCUUAUCAUCCAAAGUAAGUCAGUUCCAGACAACCCUUCUGGCUCAUAUGAAUAAUAAUUUGAGGUGUCUUUUCCCCGCAGCAACGGGCGCGCCGUCCUUAUUGUUCUUUACCCACAAGUCUCCCACGCCGUGUAUUUUGACCCAUCCAGAGACUAUGAGAAAAAGGACUACACCCACAAAUGAAUAUUCUAUAUGAUGCUCUCCAAGGCUUCAACAUUAGAGGUGGCCACAUGCAGAUCAGGAAGAUGGGUUUCACGAAUAAAACUAACUUCUCCUACAUCCAUGUCCCAAAACCAAGCAAGAAGGAUGGAUUCUACAUCGUCCAUCUCAUGAUUCAGUUCAACAUGAUCACCAAAAGCUUUGCAUGACAAGCAGAAAUGAUGAUCAUAUCCACAAGUGGCUAGAAUCUCAUGGAGAAGCGGAUUAUAAACUUAGAGAUGACUUCUUUCGUAUCCAAAGGGACAUUGCGACGAUCAUCAUGAAAGAAGUCGUCGAUGAGAAGGGGAUGUUCCACCACGGCCCUAUAUCGCGAGCUGACGUCCGAACUCGCAUAGGCAUGCAACCUCUAGACCUCACGCUGUUCAAGAAGCUAGGGUCCAUCCUCGAUGAUAUGGAAGGAUAGAACUUCUAGUGAUUUAUGAUGCCGAUGAUGAUGAUAUGUGUCGGUUCAACUUGUAUACUUUUUGUAGCGAUGUAACUUUGUGAUGUCCAUGGUCCCUGCCGAACUUGCGUAACGCUACUUUGUUAGUUUGCAUACGAUGACAUGCGUACCUCUAGUUAAUUAGUUUGCGUACUGUAUGUUGCAUCUAGUUGCUAACCCUUUAUUUUUCGUGUUGCUCUUGUAUAUUUUGCUGCAUAUGAUUGUACAUCCUCUUCAUGAAGAUGCAUCUCUAACAGGUACCUAGUUUCUUGAUGGCGAGAUGGCAGUGCUAUGUCGUGUACAAAGGGAAGGUUCCGGGGGUGUACAACGAGUGGCAUGAGUGUCAGGCGCAAGUGAAUGGGUUCUCGGGCGCCAGCCAUAAAGGCUUCAAAAGCAGACAAGAAGGAGAAGCUAGUUACUUGAGGUUCACGCUAGCACGAGAGAGGACUCGUAACCGCCACCUCAUGUACUGCAUAGUUCCGCUCUCACUCAUAGUGAUAGCUCUUCUCGCGUAUACCUUUGUUUAGAUGGAUGACGUUGUAGUUGCAAGUAUUCGAGACUUGCAUGUAUCGCUAUUUUCGAGAUGAUGACAAGAUACCACUUUGUGUUGGAUGAUGAUUAUGAUGAGACUAUUUGUAUGUAUAUGCUAUGAUUACAUUUGUGGUCUCGCUUGUGUGUGUAUCAUGAUAACAUUUGUAUGUGCUAAAGAUUCUUCUAUAAAUCCUAUUCAAAUACAAAACAAAUAUGCAGAAAAAAACAAAAAACUACUAAAAUUAGCAGUAGCAAGUGGAGAAAAGUUAGCAGCAGCGCGAUAGUAGCAGUAGCGCGCACAGGAGAAGCGCGCUAUAGCUAUUAGCAGUAGCGAGCUCCCUGUAAGAACGCUGAUGCUACACUUGUAUAUCAGUAGCGCCGCCUCCCGCGCUACUGAUAUACCUAGAACCCGCGUUGCUGCUAGGCUUUUCCCUAGUAGUGUGAUAUCAGGAAAUGAACAAAGUUGCCAAUAUGGUGCGAUAAUGAUCGAUUGAACUUACUUCUGGUGCAUUCCAGUCAUGUCCGCAUAGUCCUCGGGAUCUUUUCGUCUCAAGUCUAAGACGGUUACUUCUCCGUUCUCAAGCUUAUUUACUAGGAGAAUAAAGUGGAAGCUGCGCAUGCAUGCACAACUCAUCAGUUACAUGACUAUAACCUCGAGUAAUAAAGGAAAUCGAAUAUGCACAAGACAGUAACACUCACUUGAAGUUGUAAGGAAAGAAUAUUUUAUCUUUGGUUUGAUUUUUGAGCAACGAUUUGAGCAAGUUGUCCUCGGUUUCUGUGACAUUCUUUUGAACCGUCCAUUCAUGUAUGACAUUUGGGUUAAUGAACCCAAUGUGAUAGAUUUGUGCUUUUCUGCAUUCGACGAUCUUCAAUCUGCAUAAUAUAGUGAGGCUAAUUAUAUAACAUGCAAUGAAAGAGCUGAGCUAUAUAUAGAGAGACUUAAUUACAGAAAGUAGUGCUUACAGACACUAGAAAACCACAAGUGAUUUGUCGAGGGACUUUUCAUUGUAGAACUCGAAAAACUCGUCAAAAGCAACAGUUAACAGUUCUUGGCCAAUGAAGUCGUGGUCCUCUUUGAUCAACAUCGACAAAGCAUCCUUCCCAGACUCGAUGCAGGUUUUCAUGUACCAGUCUUGGAAUCUUUGCAUCAUCGUUGUUAGAGCAAGAGUAUCAUUGACAAGAGGCUUCCCAUAAUGGUAUUUGAAUUCGUCCACCUCCAUUGUUUCAAAAUCUACAUCGUCAGGCAGGUAAUCACCAAUAGUGAAACUGGGCAGCAGCGCCUGAAUUGCGACUAUAUGGCUACACACCUUGAGCGAGGGGGGAUGAUUGGUUCUCCUGUUCUUCGAGAUGGGGAUUUUUCCCACUUCUUCAUUCUUUUAACCUUUUGUCAGUUGAAGUACUUCCUGACUGGCGCGCUUCUUGCAAUGUCUUUUCAAGAUAGCGGAGAUGGUUUUUAUCUGGCGAACACGGUGGUGGUCGCUUCAGGGCAUUGAUAGUGUGCUUUGCUUUCACCGGAUCUGUCUUCUCCUCCGGAGGUGGAUGUUUCAUAGCUUUUAGGGUUUCAAAGAAGUCCUUCACUUGGGCUUGAACAAUCUGCUCGUUUUCCUCCACGGUCAUCUCGUAUGGUAAGUUCUCUACAGGCUUGAGAGAUGGACUGAAUCUGUAUUGUCUCCCGGCUCUACCUGUACUGCUAGACACCAGAGCAGCGGUGGCUCUCUUCUGUUGCUACUGACGAGUAGUAGAAGGAGGCGGAGUGGUCCGAUGCGCCGCAGCAGCCGGAGCGGCGGCGUCUAUGUUCCACCGUUGCCGAUGAGGCGGGGGAGGAGGCGGGCUGCUCGGACGUGCGAGAGCAGGCGGAGAAGGAGGCGGAGUGCCUUCCUCAAGCGCCAGAGCAGGAGGCGGAGUGCCCUAAUCACUGGCCGGAGGAGGAGGAGGAGGAGGAGGAGGAGGCGGAGGAGACAGAGUGGUCAGCUGACUCGCCGGAGGAGGAGGAGGAGGCGGAGGCGUAAAUUUCAGAAGCUUGAUGUGCUACUUCCGCCAUAGACAUGGAGUCUUUAGAGCAAGACCUAGCUGAGUAUCCCCUUCACCUGUAGGGUGGUCAAGCUAGAGCUCCUUAAAUCCCUCCGUUAUUUCAUCCACCAUCACAACAGAAUAGCCUUGUGGAAUCGGAAGGCAGUGAAAAGUUGCGUCGGGUUUAGGAGGUGCAACAAAGCCGACGGCCGCCUUGACUUUGAGAUUCUGCCAUUGCGUCAUAAGCUGGCACUGGUGAGCCUCCGUGAUAGCAUCCACGGGGUAGCUAGGAGCCGUGAAGUCAGGCUGCUGAACGAGCUCGGUGGAAGCCACGAUGCUUCUCCACUGAGAUGGCGGGGUAGCUUCUGGGGUAGCUUGGGCAGGUCACUUGUUCUCAACAACUUGUUCCUCUAGCUUUCGUACCCUUGCAUUCAGCUUCUACAGUUUGCUCAGCUCCACUUUCCUCCUCCUCUCUUGGGUUUUGUAACCGCCUGCGUUGGGAAAGCCAACCUUCCACGCAACAGAGCCUGGCGUGCGUCGUGUUCGUCCAGGGUGCUCAGGAUUCCCGAGGGCCUGUGUGAGCUCGAUGUUCUCUCUGUCGAGAACGAACGUCCCUUGCUGCGCUGCGAUGAUAUACUUCUGAAGCUUCUUGACGGGUAUUUCAAGUUGCUCGUCCGUCCAAACGCACUUCCCUGUUUCACGGUCCAACGUUCCCCCAAUCCCGAAGAACCAAGUCCUUGAACCGUCUGGCCAGUUCAAUGUCUCUUGUUCGACCCCUUUAGCAAUCAGGUCAUUCUCAGCUUUGUCCUGCAACGGCCGGGCUUUGAGGUAGCCACCUGACCCCGUGCGAUGGUGAUGCUCCUUCUUUGCAGCAUUUAUCUUGCUUGUCGCUGACAUCUUCUUACUCUUCUCCGAUGUCUUGUGGGCCACAAAUGCGGCCCAGUGAUCUCUUAUCUUCUCAAAUUGGACGAUGAAUUAUGGAGUCUUGUAUUUGUCGACAUACAUUGAUUUCAACUCAUUCUUCAACCUUCUGAAUAGAUCUGCCAUCUUCUUGAGAGCAUGAGCCUUGACCAAUGGCUCUAUAACUGGCUUAUCCGGAUCCUCCUAUGCCGGUAGGGUGAAAUUUUCCUUCAGCGUGGUCCAAAGAUCAUCUUUCUGUCUAUCUUUGACAUAAGAAACUUGAGGGUCUUCGUUCUUAGGCUUAUACCAUUGGUGGAUGUUGAUCGGGAUCAUGUCCCUAACAAGAACCCCACACUGAGUAGAAAAUGCUUCCUUGGUUCGGAGGGGUUCAAUCGGUUGGCCAUCGCCCGCGAUUGCUGUGAUCGUGAACCUUUCAUCCUAUCGCAACCUUUUCUUCGGCCUCGUCUCUUUACCGAAGUUUGGCUCGAUCCGGAGGGCUAUAAAAGAAGAAAGAAGAGUUAAUAUAUGUACAUACCAAAACAAUUAAUGCAUCAAUUAGCUAGUCAUCACAGGCUUCANNNNNNNNNNNNNNNNNNNNNNNNNNNNNNNNNNNNNNNNNNNNNNNNNNNNNNNNNNNNNNNNNNNNNNNNNNNNNNNNNNNNNNNNNNNNNNNNNNNNNNNNNNNNNNNNNNNNNNNNNNNNNNNNNNNNNNNNNNNNNNNNNNNNNNNNNNNNNNNNNNNNNNNNNNNNNNNNNNNNNNNNNNNNNNNNNNNNNNNNNNNNNNNNNNNNNNNNNNNNNNNNNNNNNNNNNNNNNNNNNNNNNNNNNNNNNNNNNNNNNNNNNNNNNNNNNNNNNNNNNNNNNNNNNNNNNNNNNNNNNNNNNNNNNNNNNNNNNNNNNNNNNNNNNNNNNNNNNNNNNNNNNNNNNNNNNNNNNNNNNNNNNNNNNNNNNNNNNNNNNNNNNNNNNNNNNNNNNNNNNNNNNNNNNNGCAACAGCUGAUCCUGACUCCGUUCAGUCACCGGAGCCGUCAUCACGGUCGUUGGAGCCAUCAUGAUCAUGACUUUCCUCCUCCAUUGUUCGAUCACCGUAGCCUGCUUCCUCUCCUUCUAGACCACCGGUGUCGUUGAGAAAUAACGACAAGACAUCACCUCCGUCGAGGAUUAUGUCCCCCAAUAUCUCUUCUUUUUCAAAUUCUCUUUGUUGAUCCAUACUUUCUGCAAUAUUACAACAUGGCAAUUAAUAUACAAACAUGAGAGAUGGAUAUAUUAAUAUAUUGGCAAACAUAGACCUAGCUAGCUAAGCACAACAAAGAAUAUUAAUUAGUGGCCUCGACGCUUCUACGAUUUGGGCUGGCCUCGACAACGCUUCUAGGUUUUGGGGUGGCCUCGACAACACUCUUUUCAGUUGGUAAAUUUGGGUGGCCUCGACGCUUCUAGGGUUUGGGGUGGCCUCGGCAAUGCUUCUAGGGUUUGGCCCGGACCUCCUCUCUCAUGAUUGUCCGAUGUUCGGACCGCCUCUCUCAUGAAUGUCCAACGUCCGGACCGCCUCUCUCAUGAAUGUCAAACAAGGGAUUUAACAAGAUGGCGCCAUUCUGGAUGUGCCAAAAAUUGUCCCUAUUUUUCCUGAUCUCAUCUACCCUUCUAUAUGUCACGUUGUCUAGUGUCAAAGGAUUCAAUACUUUGACACAAGAGAACAUGCACAUAUAGAAUGGUAGAUGAGAUCAGGAAAAAUAGGGAUCGACUUAAUUAUGCACAUCCAUAAUGGGGGCAUUCUUGAUAAAUCUCGAGAGAGUUUGUCAGGUAGGGGCGGGAGGGGGUACGAGAUUGACAAUGUUUCUUUUCUAUGGUUUGGAUGUCCUCGAGAGUUGGCCGAGCGAGAGGGGGUUGAUCAACGUCCCCCUCUCGACCCCUCGGCGAUCCUCGGCCCUCGACCCCUCGACGACCCUCGACCCUUGACCCUCUACCCUAGUUCCGAUCCUCGACCGCUCGGAUUCUCUUAACCUUUAAGGUAUUUAACAAGAUGGUGCCAUUCUGGAUGUGCAGAAAAUGGUCCAUAUUUUUCCUGAUCUGAUCUACCCUUCUAUAUGUCACGUUGUCUAGUGUCAAAGGAUUCAAAAAAAACCAUUGCUUCAUCAUUUUCCGGAAGUAACAGACGCAUAAUGGUAUGAAGCUCUCCAAAAUUGUUUUGGAACGGAGUCCUGGAUAGGAUAAUUAGCUUUUUGGUACGAAGAUCAGCAAGGGCCUUCCGAAUAUCGCUACUUGGAAGGCCUUUGCUGAAAUUCGUACAAAAAAGCGAGUUAUUCUAUCAGGAACUCCAUUCCAAAACAACUUUGAAGAGCUUUGUAGCAUCAUACGUCUGUUACUUCCAGCAAAUGAUGUAGCCAUGGAUUUCUUCAAUACUUUGACAAACAACGUGACAUAUAGAAGAAUAUAUAUAAUGGGGCAUUCUUGUUAAACGGAUACCCUCGACCCCUAGACGGCCCUCGACCCCUCGACUAUCCUCGACCCUCGACCCCUCGACGACCCUCGACCCUCGACCCCUCAAUGACCCUCGACCCCUCGGCAAUCCUCGAACCUCGACCCAUNNNNNNNNNNNNNNNNNNNNNNNNNNNNNNNNNNNNNNNNNNNNNNNNNNNNNNNNNNNNNNNNNNNNNNNNNNNNNNNNNNNNNNNNNNNNNNNNNNNNNNNNNNNNNNNNNNNNNNNNNNNNNNNNNNNNNNNNNNNNNNNNNNNNNNNNNNNNNNNNNNNNNNNNNNNNNNNNNNNNNNNNNNNNNNNNNNNNNNNNNNNNNNNNNNNNNNNNNNNNNNNNNNNNNNNNNNNNNNNNNNNNNNNNNNNNNNNNNNNNNNNNNNNNNNNNNNNNNNNNNNNNNNNNNNNNNNNNNNNNNNNNNNNNNNNNNNNNNNNNNNNNNNNNNNNNNNNNNNNNNNNNNNNNNNNNNNNNNNNNNNNNACCCUCGACCUUCUACCCUAGUUCCCGACCCUCGACCUCUCGGCGAUCCUCGACACCCUCGUUCCCGAUAAAAAAUAAGAGGAGGAAGAAGUAGAAAAAAAAGAGGAGAAGAAGAAGAAAAAAAGAGGAGAAGUUUUCUAUUUUUUCUUCUUCUCCUCUAUUCCUUCUUCUUCUCCUUUCUUUUCUUCUUCCUCUUCUUAUUUUUUUCUCCUCUUCUUCUCCUUCUUCCUCUUCGUAUUUUCCUAUUUCCUCUCCUUCUUUUUCUUCUUCUUCCUUAUUCCUUCUUCCUCUUUUCUUAUUUUUCCUUAUUUUCCUUCUUAAUCGAUGACCCUAACCCUAAACAGUACAACUAACGACAACGACUUCGCUUGCAUACAUAUGAACAAAUAUGAUCGAUCAUCUAUGAACAUUUGAUUGUUGGCGUCUCUGCCAAUUGCACACAAUAUUUGACCUGACAUUGACCCCUUCAGAAAACAACCAUCUAGCCCCAGAACUCUUCUACAACCAGCUAGGAAACCCUUUUUGCUGGCAUCAAGACAAAUAUACAUUCUUUGGAAAACUGGCAUGUCAAGAAUCUCAGGAUCUAAAGUCACUGCCAUUGUGCUGCAAGGAUUGCUUCUAACUAGCUCUAGGUGGUAGUCAAAGACUCGAGAAUACUCACCAUUUGUCAAACAGGUGAGCUUUUCCAUGACUAGCUUCUUCGCUCUCUUACACUUGGAAAUACUAACAUCAGGCUAGAAGAUCCUCAAGUACCGCCUCCUGCAUAUGCCCUACAUGCCAAGUUGGAUUGUGUCUUAUCUCUCUGAAGUACUUCUUUGCAAUGAUUGUGCUUGUGACAAGCUUGUUGUCCCUCCUAGGAAUGCAGGUGUGCUCAUUAUUAUACCUCACAACUAGCAACCAGUCUGACAUGUUACUAAUUGAACCAUAUAUACUCCAAGGACAACCUGGCCAAGAACACUAUGCACUCACCCUUUUCUUUUCAUCUUUUGGAAAUCUUAAAUGGUGGAAAUUUUCUAUCCCAUACUUAACCAAUGCUUGCUUGAAUUUCCUGCUAUCAGUAAAUGCCAUGCCUACAGCAAACUCUGAUUUCUCUUUACUGUCAUCAUAAACUCUGUGAGUUGUCUUCCUCCUUCUCACUUCAUUUACCUCUUCAUCACUACCUUCAUCAUAUGACAUAUCGUCAUCACUUUCAAUGUAUGGUGUACCUUCUCCAUCUGAAUCAUCUUGCCAAGAGUUUUCAGGCACAAUAAAAUCAGCAGACACAUUGCAUGUUUUGCCCUCAUCUUCUCUCAACAUGUUCUUUCUCACUUUCUCCUUCAAUUCUUUUGCAUAUUUUCUCAUCUCCAAGACCUCAUCAUCAGAUGCUGAGUUGUUGCUCUCUGAAGGGGGAAUAGCAUAGUCACUAUCAGAUAAAUCACUGCCACUUACUUCCUCCUCAACUACACUUGAUUUUCCUCUACUAACCGUUAAUUGAGAUGUCCUUCUAGGCUAGUAAUACAUGUUGGAAAAUUGCCAAGGUUCUGGUUCUUCCAUGUGCCCCUCUGCACCUACAUAUUGGUGCUGGUCCUCUGCACCUACAUAUUGUUGCUGCUCCUCUGAAUUUGCAUGAACCUGCUGCUCCUAUGAAUGUUGUUGCUGCUCUUCUCCAACUGAAUUGUAUUGCUGCUCUUCUGCAUAUAUACUCAUCCUCCCAGUAUCUGCUUCUCUUGCUGCUCUACUCCAUGCCUCAGAUCUAUCCACAAAAUUAAAAGAAUCUGAACUAAAAAACACUCCUUCAAUUUCGGUUCUAGCCGAAUCAUCCCUAAAUCAAAUAAUUUGAGUGUACCACAAUCAAUUAAUCGUACAUAUCAUGGUGGCAGUAAACCAAAUCAAUAAAUCUAUACAUGACGGACGUAAGAUAAUCUGGAACCAAAAUCCAUGAAAUCCCCAAAACCCUGGAAACCCCAACCUAAAACAAAGAAAAUACAAAGGUGUUGCAACACAUGUUUGGGCAUCCAUCUUCGGUGAUUGACCUGCUCGCCAUGCCGCCGUCUGAUUCUCACUUCAUGUCGCCGGUCAUCAUCCCUAAACCUCGUCGCCACCGUCUCUCAGAGAAGGAGAUCGUGUUGGAGAUGAAGAAAAGCGAACAGGAUGGGUUUGGGUCGAACAGGCUCGGGGGCGUCGUUUUAUACCGCACCCAGCAACCUCUGUCUGAUGUGGCCAGUCGAUGGGCCAACCCAGGUGACACAUAUGCAAAACCACCGUCCCAUACCGCUAAAGUGAAGGUUGGGGGUGAUUUGUCCGGUUUAGGAUAGUCUAGGGGAUUAAGAACCCUGUUUUAAAGAUGAGGGGGUUAUGUGAUCCAAAUGGAAUAGUUCUGGGGUUUAUCUAUACUUUUUUACCAAGGUAUUAAUCCAUGAAGGUAGAAGGAACGUGCAAUAGUUGUGUCUCCUUCAUUACAUAUAAAACUAUGCUUGUGUUCCCAACAAUUCUAACAAGGGCAUCAACCCCUACUAGUCUUGCUAGUUGAGCAAGGCUACUGAAAGAUAAAGUGUGAUAAAUAUUUUUGGUAUUUUCGGAAUAAAACAAAACUGAAAAUAAAAUAGCAUGUAAUUGUUAUUGAAAGAUGAUUCUUAUGGUAGAAAUUGGAUCCGGGUUCAUAUGUUCACCGGGUGUAACUCUCCAAUGCAUGAGUGUGGUAGGUGACUUUUUCAUGGGUAUAAGUGCGAUAUGGAAUACUCAUGUUCGUGAAAGAUAAGUAAAUAUUAUGAGAAUAUAUAUAGACAGUACGUCCAUAAUACUAAAGACCGAGACCUUGUCAUGCAUAUUUAGCUAAAUAGUCCGUCAAUAGACCGAGAUACUUUGCACCAUCUAGACAUUAAGUAUAAACACAGAUAAUUGCAUUUAGAACGAUGACAUAUUAUUAUGAUUAGGGGAUUAUUCAUCCUCCACUAACCAUUAACCCUUAAUGGCCAGAAUUCAAACAAGCCUUUUAUAUUUUCUAUCACUAUGGUAGAUUACUCGCAAGACUUGAACUGAACUAAUGCACAGCUCUUUAACUACUGGCGACCGCUCUAAAUUAACUGGCCAAGGGAAUACAAGCAACCGGAAAGAAUUAUGCAUCUAUAUGUCAAACAUGAAUCAUAAAAAACUGAACAUAUAGAGUCCAUCACAUGAUCUACAUCUCCAUCAUAAACUCACUAGAUAAACUACAAUCAUGUAGUGAAGCUCAUGUAGCUAUUUUAUUGAGCAUCAAAAAUACAUCUAUGAGGAGAUAUUUUAACAUUGGUUACCGCCAUGAACCCGUAGUCCAAGGGGUGAAUUACUCACAACUCAUCUUGGAGAAUGACGAUCAAGACACUGGUGGAAAAAGGGCCUUUGGUCGCGGUUCGCAACUGCCAUUAGUCGCGGUUGCGCAACCGCGACCGAACGGGCGCGACUAAAGGCCCCCCCCCCCUUAGUCGCGGUUGCUUAAGAACCGCGACUAAAGGCCCGUCCACGUGGGCGCCAGGUGGCCGUCGGGGCGGAGGACCUUUAGUCGCGGUUCUUCUGGCCAACCGCGACUAAAGGCCGCCGCUGNNNNNNNNNNNNNNNNNNNNNNNNNNNNNNNNNNNNNNNNNNNNNNNNNNNNNNNNNNNNNNNNNNNNNNNNNNNNNNNNNNNNNNNNNNNNNNNNNNNNNNNNNNNNNNNNNNNNNNNNNNNNNNNNNNNNNNNNNNNNNNNNNNNNNNNNNNNNNNNNNNNNNNNNNNNNNNNNNNNNNNNNNNNNNNNNNNNNNNNNNNNNNNNNNNNNNNNNNNNNNNNNNNNNNNNNNNNNNNNNNNNNNNNNNNNNNNNNNNNNNNNNNNNNNNNNNNNNNNNNNNNNNNNNNNNNNNNNNNNNNNNNNNNNNNNNNNNNNNNNNNNNNNNNNNNNNNNNNNNNNNNNNNNNNNNNNNNNNNNNNNNNNNNNNNNNNNNNNNNNNNNNNNNNNNNNNNNNNNNNNNNNNNNNNNNNNNNNNNNNNNNNNNNNNNNNNNNNNNNNNNNNNNNNNNNNNNNNNNNNNNNNNNNNNNNNNNNNNNNNNNNNNNNNNNNNNNNNNNNNNNNNNNNNNNNNNNNNNNNNNNNNNNNNNNNNNNNNNNNNNNNNNNNNNNNNNNNNNNNNNNNNNNNNNNNNNNNNNNNNNNNNNNNNNNNNNNNNNNNNNNNNNNNNNNNNNNNNNNNNNNNNNNNNNNNNNNNNNNNNNNNNNNNNNNNNNNNNNNNNNNNNNNNNNNNNNNNNNNNNNNNNNNNNNNNNNNNNNNNNNNNNNNNNNNNNNNNNNNNNNNNNNNNNNNNNNNNNNNNNNNNNNNCGACGGCGGGCGGCGUCGAGGGCGAGGGCGGCAGGCCUUCGGCGCGGCAGAGAAAGAGCGGAGAAAUGGAGGCGACGGGUCGGGCGGUUGUAUUUAUAGCCCCCCCCUUUAGUCGCGGUUGGGGAGGCGACCCGCGACUAAAGGGCCUUUAGUCGCGGUUGGGGAGGCGACCCGUGACUAAAGGAGAACCUUUAGUCGCGGUCGGGGAGGCGACCCGCGACUAAAGGGUAACCUUUAGUCGCGGUUGGGGAGGCGACCCGCGACUAAAGGACUUUUUUGGCGGGUUUUUCUUUCCCGCGCGCAACCACCUUUAGUCGCGGUUGGGCAGGCCAACCGCGACUAAAGGUAUAUAUAGGGGAGGGGAUUUAGUUGCGGUUGGCCUGGCAAACCGUGACUAAAGGUGCCCGAAGGCCUUUAGUCGCGGUUGUCCUGGCCAACCGCGACUAAAGACCCUCACGUGCGCCAGCUAGCCACCGAGCGCCCUGGUCCCAGGCCUUUGGUCGCGGUUCACCUCCAGAACCGCGACUAAAGGUCCCAUUAGUCGCGGUUCCUACAGCUUCGUGACUUAUGGGGCUGGACGGAAGCCUGUUUUUCCACCAGUGAAGGUUGAUGAUGAUGUUGAUGAACUCCCCCUCCGACAAAGUUCUGGAUCAGGGCUGAAAACGAAAAUCGCCUUGAAAACGUGAUGUGAUGGCGGCAUAAAAAAUACUUGAUAAUUCUGAGUUAAGUUUGGGGGUAUAUAUAAGCCAGGUUAACGGAAGCCAGCCGAGGGACCCAUAGGAAGUAGGUGACCCUAUGCCCUCUAACCCUAAGGAAACCUAGGACUUGUUGGCCUACUAAGUGUGGGUCUAGGUCCCUUGGGGUCCUUCUGUUCGUCAAACUCCCGAAACUAUUUUUUGUUUAUUUUUUGACACUAUUUGUAGGUAUUUUCCUGAAAAUACAAAAACAACACAAAAUAGGAACUCGCAUUAGGCACUAGAUUAAUAUGUUAGUCAAUAAAAACUAUGAUCAAAGUGUUUAUAAUUAAAAUGAUUAUAGCAUGAAACAUACAAAAAUUAUCGAUACGUUUGAGACAUACCAACUGUCACACAUAAUUAAUGUGGGGGCAGGUAUCGCAGGCACAUGUAGCCACCCCGCGUUUGCUCCACAACCGACACGGCUGAUCAAGUAGUGUACUACUAUGGUCCAAUUCUUUUGGCCAAUUCUCCCCGAAUCUCAAGAAUCGGACCUCCCUUAGAUUCUCCGAGAAUCUUGAACCCAUUUUUUAAUCUUGCUGCAUCAAGGCUUGAAUACCGAGGCGUGCACACCAUUGCAUGGGAAGCCUGGCCGCUGUGGUCAAGCAGGCUCUGAAUCAAUCUUAAGAGUGGAGAUCGUACGAUGUAGCACCAUGACGAGUGGUAGUACACCCUGCAUUUCUGCUGGUUUAGUCAUAUACAGGCCAUGCGGUCUUCAAAGCAACAUCGACUGGAAGCAUCAGAGCACCGUGAAACAGAACUGAGCCUUGCUGCUUCACCUGAUCUAUGUUUGUCACUGAGUGCUAUAAACUGGUGUUGAAUCAAAAUUGGCGACUCAGAAUUUUAGCAAGAAAAAAAUGUUGUUGUUUUUAUGAAGAAAAUGCCAAGGUAUGGCCUCGAGUCUCUCCUCCAUUUGAGCCUGAAACACGUGAGGAACGAAGAAGAGGAAAUGGACGAAAAUAUAAAUCCCACCCACUCACCAUGUUCGUGCGUACCCGUGGUUACUUGGAUGCCUUAAAAACAUGGACACUUCAAAUAUGUUGCAUGGAACCUUGAGUUCACCUCAAACAUUUGACAUUGCACCUAAAAAUCAUCCAGGGAGGCAUUUUGAUGGUGCGACAUGAAGUGGUUGAACUCAUAAUGAUACUAGACCACUCUUGGCCUGCAUGGAUUGCCGUGAAGGUCCACAUGUAUAUUGGACAGUUCUCAAGCAUUUCCUUCAUUUGGGCCUGAAAUAUGGUGACAAAGAAGAAGAAAUAAUCCAAAAUAUAAGCCCACCCACUCACCAGCGCAUUUCAACCAGGAGGUGCUCACAUAUGUUAAAAAAUGAUCUCUCCCCAACCCACUCCCAUAUUCGACAAAAGCCACUUCACAAUACACCUAAAAAUUAUUGAGAGCGGCAUUUUGAUGAUGCGAUGCAAAGCAUUGAAAGGAGCUCAGGAUGAUGCCUAAACACUUGAUGGAAAAUCUCGUUGGAUCAUCUCGAACAACGUCCACCAAUUGUUUUGUGAUACUNNNNNNNNNNNNNNNNNNNNNNNNNNNNNNNNNNNNNNNNNNNNNNNNNNNNNNNNNNNNNNNNNNNNNNNNNNNNNNNNNNNNNNNNNNNNNNNNNNNNNNNNNNNNNNNNNNNNNNNNNNNNNNNNNNNNNNNNNNNNNNNNNNNNNNNNNNNNNNNNNNNNNNNNNNNNNNNNNNNNNNNNNNNNNNNNNNNNNNNNNNNNNNNNNNNNNNNNNNNNNNNNNNNNNNNNNNNNNNNNNNNNNNNNNNNNNNNNNNNNNNNNNNNNNNNNNNNNNNNNNNNNNNNNNNNNNNNNNNNNNNNNNNNNNNNNNNNNNNNNNNNNNNNNNNNNNNNNNNNNNNNNNNNNNNNNNNNNNNNNNGCCAGCAUUUAGUAAAGCUUGAUGCCACCAAGAGUUCCCCCAAACACUUCACAUUGCCAUUUUAAUGCCUCGUGAAGUGCUUGUAGGGAACCCAUGGUAAGACCAAACAUACUUCAUGUUGAACAUCUCUUCUAAUUCUUUCCUGGCAUUGAGUAAAGCUUGGCAUCGCCAAGAGUUCGCCCAAACACUUCACAGUGGCAUUUGGAACAAUGCCUCAUGAAGUGCUUGCAGGGAACCCAUGGUAAUACCAAACAUGUCUUGCAUCGAUCAACUCUUUGGGUUCUUGGGCAGCAUUGAGUAAAGCUUGGUGGCACCAAGAGUUCCCCCAACCACUUCACAAUGGUGCAUUUUGAAAUAAUGCCUCGUGAAGUGCUUGCAACGAACCCACAGUAAGACCGAACAUGGUUCACCAUUAGCAAAACUCUUGUGGUUUGCGCUGGUAUCUAGUAAAUGCUUGAUUGCACCUAGAGUUCCCCCAAACACUUCACAUAUAUAAGCUCUCAGAAAGGUGCUUCGUGAAGUGUUUGAAGGGAACUCCUGGUAAUACCAAACGUGAUUUGGAGUACAUCUCUUGUGGUUUAUGACCUGCAAUAUCUGCGAAGUGCUUGGUUGCACAAAGAGUUCCCCCAAAUACUUCACAUGAUACCUUAAAAAGGUGCUUUGUAAAGUGCUUGAAGAGACCUUCCAGUAAAACGAAAUGUGGUUUUCAGCUCAUUGGUGCAUCUAUCUUAUGGUAUGUGGCCAAAUGCUUAGUAACACCGAGAGUUCCCCCAAACACUUCAGGGAAGUUCUUGCAAAGACGCAUCCUGAAGUGCUUGAGGAGAACUCCUGAUGAGGCCAAGCUCGAUUAAUCCCAACACACCCAUCAUAAUGUAUAUGGACCUACCACUAUAAUUUCUAAAGCACAAACACUCUCAAAUCCUAUCGAUGUUGUUGGUUGCCACCCAGAGUUCCCCCAAACACUUCAGUAUACAAUGUUGUAUAUCCCGGCAUUGCACACUAAUAAAACAGUGCCACUGCAAGCUUUAGUUAGCUAGCAACUGAAGUGAUUUGAGGAGAACUCCAGGUGACAACCAACCAAAGUAGCUAGCUAGAACUCUCGUUCAUCUACCAUGGACCACACUUCACUGAUUUGUUUUAUCCGCACCUGCUGAUGAGCGUGUAGGCGGCUGCUAUUUAUAAGUCUAAACGAAAAACUGAAGAGCUAGUAGCAAGUCCGUUGCUUCCUGUGGACUGCGGCGCGCAAUGGAGAAAAUACAUGGUCUUGGUGCUGGAUCAAUGAACCUGGCAAUGCACCUAGCCGUGACGCAGCCUAGGUUAGAACGAACUAGCUGCUAGAGCCAAGGGAAUCUGGUGAGAUGUGCCUUUUCUGCAUCGUGCAAAGGCUCAUGGAGUAAAGAUGCGUGUCCAGCCUGCAAAUUCCUUAUCUCCUGCAGCUAGCUAGCUAGAGAUCAGCGUCGUCGGCGACAUCGCUUGGUUUCUGUCCACGGACAUUUUUGUCAGCACAUCCAUGCAAAGGGGGGUGCAGUGCAGGGAUCACGUUAUAAUUAUGAGUAUCAUCCCAUGCAACUGGUGCAAAGCUUGAGCCGACCAGUUGCACGGACAGUGGCCACUGGCCAGGCACGCGAGCUAGGAUCCCCGGGAAUCUUUGCUAAUAGAGACUAAUAAUUUGGUGCAGGAAAAUGCUCCAUACUGUACAUCUCAUGGGUGGAUGGUUUCGUUGCAUUAGUGCUGUUGUGCAGUAUCUUGAAUCUUGGUAAAAUCAGUAGCUCAUAACGAAGUUAGGUAGAAGAAAAUUAAAGUGAUCAGUAAUGACUUAGGCGGAAGAAGAGAAAAUGUAGUAUUUUUUUCGUGUGAAUAUUUCACACUGCUAUGCAGCAGAGGCCAAGGGUAAUAUACGCCACUAAUUAAUUCGAAAUCACAGUGCUUACGUACAGUUUAUUAAACAGUGGGUUCAGUACCUUGAUGACCUACUAAUGUACUGCACUAGUUGAAAAACAUUUCACAGGCAGUCACCACCGGACUCGCGGGCUAUGCCUACGGCCCAGGGCCGUCGGCAUAGGUCCAUUGCCGUCGGCAUAGAUCUAUGCCUACGGCUGCCGUCGGCAUAUCCCCGUCGGCGUAGAUCACGUCAGCGUAGAUGUGUCAGACCGUCGGCGUAGUAUAGCCGUCGGCAUAGGAGCAUAUGCCGACGGCCGUGGGAGAGCCGUCGGCAUAGUUUAGCCGUCGGCGUUGUUUUCCGUCUGACGGCAACGGACGGCGUCGUCAACAGCGCUGGCGAUUCAGGGGACGACACGUGGCGCAUGUAUGCCGACGGCUCGGUCCCCCGGCUUCUCCUGGCGGCAGGGCUAUGCCUACGGCAAAGCCGUCGACAUAGAUUUCCAUCUAUGCCGACAGCUUUGCCGUAGGCAUAUCUCUGCCAUGUGGCAGCUCCUGGUAAACAGAGGUCGUCGGCAUAGGUCUGAAUAGCCCGACGGCUUUAUUACGCCGACGGCCUGGAUAUGGCUGUCGGCAUAGCACAGACAAGGCUGACGGGGGCCGUCGGCAUAGAUAUGGCCGUCGGCACAGGGCCCUGUUCCGGUAGUGAGUUUACUAGUACUUUACACAGACAGUGGCUUUGAAAUGUGCCAUGAAUCAAUCUGUUUAGACAAAGUAGAGAGCAUGGAGAUGAUCUUGUAUUGGUCACUUGUGAACUGAUCGUGGGAUCAUCAUGCGCAGAAACGAAGUAGUAUUUCGCUUACCUUUCGAGUGUCGGUAGCCGGUGGAACGUGCAGGUUCUUCAGUGUUUAUUGAACUAAAAGCCAGCUAGUUGCUGGCCUUGUUAUGUACACAAAUAAUGAUAGCAGGACACAUUUGGUAACCCCGAUGCCGGAGCACAUGGACCUAAUCUUGUCUUUUCCAUCAGAAAACAUGUCUGCUCUGGUCCAAUGGGCUGGCUAGUUGUCUCAUUGUGCAUGCGUGACUGUAUAACAUAUGGGCAAGCGGCAUAAAGAGAGGAGAAAGAAAAAGGCAACACACUAUGUGAGGUGCCACCACAGGAUCGAUAACUAAUAUUCCCAAAUCUCAAAGGCCAUUCAACAGAGCGAAAAGCUAGCUACAAUAAGAUGUCCAGGUUCAAUGCACUUCGAUCGAUCCACAUCGUCCAAAGUUGAGAGACCCAGAUGAUGGCCAGUUUCAAAGCAGGUGAGACGAUCAGAGCUGCUGAGCCUCUGAAAGGGCAUGGGGAUGGAGAUGCUUGGGGUAUAAGUAUCUUUGCAGAAGCGAGAGGAUGAUGGCGACGCGGCGGGAGUUUUUCUUCUUCUUCCUCAUGUGGUAGGAGGAAGAAGGGAGGCCGUCGGUGUCUCGCAUGGAGUUCCCCCAUUCACACUUCUUGGCUGUCUAGUUCGUCGUCGUUCGUUCAGGUAGGGAGGGUUUUGUUCCUGUAACUCCCUUGUGUUGUUCCUCGUGGAGAUGGGGAUGUGUCUUCUCCUUCUUUUCUUGCUGCGUGCUGUGGCUGCAGCUUGAUUGUAUGUUUGUUGUAUCAGGGCACCUCGUCUCUUUUGGCCACCUCGUGUGUUUCUUUCGCCAUGUGUUUUGUUCGGAUGACCACCGGAAAUGCAUGCAUGCGUGUGUUUUUCUCGAUGCGAUGAUGAUUGUAGUUGCGGUGUCUAAACUACAGAGGGUCACAGGAAUGUACUCUGAUUCACAGCAUUGUCGAUGACAUUCAGGCUGCAAUGGCAAAUGCUGUGAUUCACAUGACACGAUUAGCUCAGCACCAACUCGAUCACCCAUCCCACAGCAAACACGACCAGCUCAAACCAACAAGGCAUGCCAUAAGCUAAUUCCGUUCGUUCCAGGGAAGUUCAGCUAACCAGGCUACUACAGUGUUUCAGCAGAAUUUCUUCUCCGGC
rnacentral:lncRNA from 1 species